CCAUUAGCAGCUUUAACCAAAAUAUUAUCAGUCAUUUAUUUAUGCCAUAUAAUUAGGCUAAAUUACAUAAAAUUCUCCGAUAAAUACUCGCUUUUCACUUUUUCUAUUUGACUUUCAAAAACCUACAUUUUACCCUCUUAAAAUUUCAGAAAUAUUUUCAAUGGGGUAUGGUGUUAAUGGAAAGAACAAAAUUACCAAAUUAUCUUUACUUCUUCUAUAAGAAAAAAAUAUUUUUUAAUAUAUUUUUAUCAUUUUAAAGGACAUUUUCGAUGUAAAUUAUAAAAAAAUAGAUGAAAUAGUAAUGGAACCCUGGCGAAGGGGAACUAAAUGCAUCAAUUUGAAAUCUUAAGGGGAUAAAAUGUAGGUUUUUGAAAGUUAUGAAGGAAAAGUGAAAAAGUAGGUAUUUACAGAAAAAUUUUCUGUAAUUUAGCCAUAUAAUUAUCUCGCAAUUAUUUAGCACAGUUAAUUGGUACUCCAGACUACCGAUAAAAGAAGUCAGAUAAUUCGUGUCCGUUCCAAAUUGGAUUGAUAUAUUCCCUCGCUUCUUCUUGAAGAAAUGGUGGUUAAAAUUAGGGUGAUUUACUAGCAGUAAAUAAUUAUAUCCAAUAUGCAAGUUCUCUCCUUGUACUUAUUUUCCUGGUGCAUGUUGCAUCACUGUUGAUCUCAUCUUCAAGACUACAUGCUUUCCACAUUAACCUAAACCACCAAACCAAAUUAAUAUUUGAUAAUAAUAUAUUAAAAGCUCCUUGAACAUACCAUUGGCCCUCAUCCUUUGACCUUGAAAUUAAUAGUGAGGCACUCAUUAAAAUUAACAUCACAUUGUUCUCCACCUAAUGCUUUUCAUUUAGUUGUUUGUUCAACUGUGAAACAAUCAACAGUUUUGAAAAGCAAUGACGUACACCCAUGCAUAGGGAUGCAAAUGAAUCCGGGUUGGUGGAGCUCCGCCCCGAAUUCGACCCGAAUUCGACCCGAUCCGCCAAGUAAAUGGAGCGGGAGGUGGAAGACUCUUUUCUUCCUUCAAUCCGCUCCGAUCCGUCAAAAAUUCGGCUCCCACCCCGAUCCGCCCGGAAUGGAGCGAUAAGUUGGAGCCAAAAAUAAAAUGAAGAGUAACCAGCCCCGAAUCCGCCCCGUCAUGAUAAAAAAUGAAGUAGGAGGUGGUGGAACUCUCCCGCCCCCGGAUCCGCCCCGUUUGCAUCCUUACCCAUGCAGAUACCAACUUUGCAAGAUACUGCCACAAUUUCACAAAUUUUGUUAGGGGUAUGAAUGAAACGCGAAGACCCCAAACAUGCCAUUUGGAACAUUUGCAUGGACAUAAGUGCAAAUGUUCCCACCAGAUGUUAACACCAUCCACAAAGUGCGCAUUCAAAAUUCGAACUACGAGUCUACGACGUGUGAUUGUUUGACUAAGCUAAAGCCUCGGUGCUCUCUCUAUUCUCCUCUCCCUCUUCGUCGUCGUCUUCGUCGUCCUCUUCCCUUUGGGCUCUGAAGAAGAAGAAGAAGAGGUCGUCGCCGAGAGUGUGAGCUCCGCUGAGUUGCCAUGGGCACCCCCUUCUUCUACGAGCUCAAGAAGCAGGCCUCGUCCUUCCUCAAGGACAAGAUCCGCACUGCUCGAUUGGCCCUCACCGAUGUCACCCCCGCCGAGUUGUGAGACCCCCCAAAUCCCUCUUUUUUUGAUUUGAUUUGAGUUUUACUGCAAAAUUCUCGAUCUGGAUGUUUCAUUUUUCUGCGUUAAGGCCUCACAUAGGCGACUUUUAGACUUAGUUUCGGUUUUUUCUCCGUGAAAUUUCAUAUUUUGUUCAUCGAGCCCCUCAUAUUCCUUUUUUUGACUUGAUUUGGGUUUUACUCCGUUAAUCUCGCUCUGGAUAUCUCAAAUUUUUUUUUAAUCUCCAUUAAGCCGAAAAAUUGCUUUUCAUUUGAUUUGUUUUUUCUGCAUAUUUCUAUUUUGUUAUUAAUUUUUACUUCGCUUAGCCCCCUAAAAAUCCGAAUUUUUUUAUUUGAUAUGGGUUUUUGCUAAAAAUCUCGAUCUGGGUGUUUCACUUUUCUCUGUUAAGGCCACAAAAAACCUGAAAUUUUGACUUGUUUUUGGUUUUUCUGCAUAAAUCUCGAACUGGUUAAUUCAGAUCUUUUGGACCAAAAAAAAAAAGAAUCUGAUUUUUGUACUGAUUAGGCUGACGGAAGAAGCAACAAAUGGAACUCCGUGGCCACCGGAGACGAAGACGAUGGGAUUCAUAUCGCGCUCGGCAUUUGAGAUCGAUGAUUACUGGAGAAUUGUGGAGAUUUUGCACAAAAGGUUAGUCCUAUUUUGUAUUCCAUCUUAAGCCAGGGGAUUGGUUUAUAUAUUGGAACCUAUAGUUCCUGUUCGUUUGAACAUGAUUUGGCUCCUGUAGUUCUAAAGAUGGUAUCAUUCACUGCGGAUAAAUUUCGUAUGAUUGGGAAGUUCCGAAAAGGAAAAUCAGUUAGUAGUUUGGUUAAUAAAAAUGUAGUCUUGCAACAUAGAGGUACAGAGAUGUAAAACCUUCAAUGCAAUUAUGUUGUGUGCUUUCAUUUUUGGCGUAACAAAACUUAAUGUGUAGUGAAUAAUUCCUUUAAAGAGGAUUAGUCGAUGAUUGAUGAAAUUCCUAAGUUAUAGUCGAAUAGUGUUUAGCUAAUCUUUUCUUUUAUAUAAUUUUUUUUUGUCGCAUAAUUUUUAAAUAAUUGUGACUAUGGUUUAAAAGAGACUAAUUUGAUGUUUCCUUGUUGGUGGAUAGGUUCUCAAAGUUCGAUCGAAAGCAUUGGAGAGAGCCCUACAAGGCUUUGGUACUUCUCGAGCAUCUCUUACUACACGGACCAGAGAGCGUUGCAGAAGAGUUUCAAAUUGAUAAAGAGUUUAUACAGGAAUUGGGUACCUUUCAAUACAUCGAUGAAAAGGGGUGAGAAAUUAGUAAUUUUGGUAGGUAUAUUUGGAUUUUUUACUAUAUGGUAAUCUAGCUAAUUUGUUGAAUAAUCUUUGAAGGUUUAAUUGGGGAUUAACUGUGAGAAUGAAAUCAGAAAGGGUCUUAAAACUGCUCGAGAAAGGGCCACUUCUUAAAGAGGAAAGGGAUAGGGCUCGAAAGGUCACUCGUGGAAUCCAAGGAUUCGGUAGUUUCAAUGUGCAUUAUUCACCUACCAAUAAUCAUAAUCCGAUUGAAAAUUCUUCGAAUUGCUAUGUGAGAAGCAAUUCGCACUACGAAGAUUACCCUACGCAGGAAGCAGUAGUCCUAGAUGAUCAAAAGGAGAGCUUCAAUACGAAUUCAUCGAUCCAUAAAGAUGAAUCAGGAGAAAGAUCAAUGGAAGAAAAUCUCAGUGAUAAGAGUUUGAAACCACAGGAGGAGACAGGAAGUGUUUUUCCUGUAAAGGGACUCAUACUUGAGGAGUCGAAACCACUCAUACCUUUCAAAGAAGUGAAAAAGACCGAGUUUCAAAAAGUACUUGGGUGGUCGAAACCACUCAUGCCUCGCGAAGAAGUGAAAAAGGUCGAGUGCUUUGAGUCGCAGUUACUUCUAAGUCAAAGUUGAGGAUGUCUGUUCAAAGAGUUUAAGGGAUAUGAGGCUUCAAGAAAAGCCAAUGGCACAAUAGCUUAUAAUUUGCUAAAGAAGAUUGUGGCGAAGGCUUGAAGCAGCUUCUGAAGAAUUUCAUGAAGUGCCAUUUUUAGGUUUGAUAGUAGACAUCGCGUCUGCAAUGUUACUUCUCUUGCAUAUCUCUGUAUCUGUAGACUCUUUUGUUGUCCAUGUUUCUGGUGUUGUUAAUGUGGGGCUUUUAGUUUGAAUAUCUAUAGAGAAAUGUGAACAAAUGUGUUAAGAUGUAUGCUGUGUUAAAAUAUAAACUAAUGUGUUUUGUUUUCUUGUGCAAUGAUACAAAAAGUACAUUACCUUCGGAUUAAACUUUCAAAGCUUACCUGAACUGUAGUGCAUUUUGAUAGGUAGUUAAACUUUUAAAGUUUUUAUUUUACUAUCUGACCUUAGUAUUUUUGAUAAGGUACUAAAACCUUACAAGUUUUGAUUCUACUGUUAAACCUUACAGUAUUUAUUACAUAUUUGAUGGAAUAACCUGUGAAGUAUUAUGAAAUAUUCUGGUGAAAAUGCUACGAGUACUGUAAGGUUGUGCAGUAGAACUAAAAUUUUCAGAGCUCAGGCACCUUUUUCAAAAAUGCUGCAAGAUCAAGUAGUAAAUUCAGUAAAUUCAAAAAACUUUCACAAGUUAGAUAUCUAUCAAAAUAAGUACUAAAGUAAAACUUAAUUUACUUCACAAAAUCAUUAGCUUGUAGAAAAUCUAGAAAUUGAACUUACAUAUGGGUUGAAUUGAGGAGCAGAAAUGUAUGCACAGUUAAAACCUGCACAGUUAUUUACAGCAGAGAGAUUGAAGUGGCAUUAUUCAUGGCUGACAGAUUAAUGGAGCUUACAUCAUCAGGAAAGCAACCGAAUCCACUAAGUCGGCGAACAUCAUGGAUAACGUGGAUGACCCUCAAAUAUAGGAUGAUAAUCUCCCUCUCAAGUUUGUGCAUUAGGUGAAAGUUUAAGUCUCUUUCUUUUUGUUGUUUUGCUAGCUUCUGGUGGAAGCUCAGGCUAAUAUGUUUGUGAGGACUCGAGCUCUCUGUUUUGCACUAGAAAACAUGCAAAAGAGAUGAUCUCAGAAGAGUAUUAUAAACAAGCUCCUCGGAUACUGUUACAUGUUUCAAUGACCAAAUUGUGAGAAAAUGACCAGCACUAUAGAACAAUUUGAGGUCAUCUGCUUAUCCUUCAAUUCACAGGACGUAGUCAUAAAGAGUAUCAGAAAAAAAAAAUAGAAAAUGAUCUCCUCAGUUACUACUUGCUGAGGCUUUUAAAGGAGCAAUAAGGCUCAAAAAUACUUCAAGAAAACACUUAAAAUUACUGUUCUUUUUAUCUGGUAAUAUUUAUUCACAGGGGUUGGGUAUAUCUUUCCAAAAAUCUACGCUACUUAAAUUCAAGUCUCUAAUUUUGGGGGAAAAGAAAAGCUCGACUGAAUAAAAGGAAUGCAGAAACAAGCUUAAUUUUUUUCGCAUCUAUCCCAUGUGUUCUACUCAAUCUCUAAGAGCAUAGAAACAAAAUUAACCUAUUGAUCUAAAAUGUUUAUGCUUCAUACUAGGAGCCAAACAUAUGCAAAAGAGAGGAAGUUUUGAUCAAACAGCAACACAGAGGCAUUUAUUUGUGGAACAAAUCUCUGACUAAGAAAAAAGGGAAAGAAUCGGACAAAUAUGUUAAAUCUAAAGAAGGGGACCAAUUUGCCAUACUUUCUGAUUAUCAACAAAAUACUGAAUUCUUUGGACAUAACCAUGUAUAACACAUUACAGUUUACUUCAAAUGGCUCAAAUCAGAUAGCGUCGUGGCAACUUGCACCAAACUGUAAAGCACGGGAGCGGAGAACAUCUCGUGCAGUUUCUCUUCUUUCGGCAGAUCCUUCAACUGUUCAGGAGGUGGUUGGGGAGUCCACUCUGUAGCUUGAUCAGUAUAGUAUAUAUUACAACUGCACCAGGUUGGUAGAGAGGAAAAAAAGAACAGGAAAAGGCGAGGGCUUUUCUGUGAAUCUCUAUAACUCCAUAUCUCAUCUGUAUCUUUAUUUACACACAAGAUCUCCAUAUUCUUCCUUCCAAAGAGAUGACAAUGAUCGAUACAUCAUCGUGAUAUCGUCGCCGAUCUCCAUGUGGUAUCUCAAGCAACUCAUGGAAGUCCAUUCCUGAAAACAAAAAAUCUUUUAAUAUUUAGAUGCUUGUCAAAUUGUUAUAGGUUUUUUGCAUAUUAAAAAAUAUCGCUACAACAUCAACUACUCACAUAUAUACCUUAUGAAAACUCUCAAAUUAUAGGUUUCUAAUUAAACCUUAUACUUAUGUUUACGGAAAUAUAAGAUCAUACCUGCUUUAUUAGCUGCCCGAAAAAGGACUUCCUCUACAAGAUGUUGAGCAGGGUCACCCUCAGGGGUCAUUGCAAUGAACAUCUCGACUUGUGCGACGGCCUCUUCAUUGGUGAAGUAUUGGUAGAGACCGUCGGAUGAUAGUAGCAAGAACCGAUCAUUUGGACCGAGCUUAUAGUGGUAGAGAGAUGGGUUACAUGUGAUGUACGGAGAAGUCCCGACGUAGUCUAUUUGGAACAUCUCAAGAAGUGCACUGUUCCAUUUUGGCUGCAGAAAAAGAAGAUAUACAUAAGAAUAUUAAGACUGCAAGAAGUUGUAGUAUUACGAAGUUCGAAUUUUUUUUUUUUUUUUUUUUUUUGAGAGAUAGGUAGCACGCUACCCGCUUCGUUUAUUUCAUUUAAAAAUAAAUUUAGCUGGAAAUGUGAAUCAACUAGGAUUCGAACUUGGGUCUCGGGUACCAACCACCAAGCCCUUUGACACUUGCUCUAGGGAUUCGAAUUUAUAAAAAGCAGUAAAAUCAAUGUGGUGAAUGGUUAAUUUUUGUGUGGAUAAACAAAGAAUCAGAUGUAUCUAUUUUGUUUUCCUAGCAAUUUACGUCACCGGUGAGAAAGUGGUAGAGAAAAUCAUGUAUGGGUAUUCCAUGAACUCUUUUCAAAUCUACCACUUGAUCAGAAUCGAAACUCUAAACAAGCUUUACUGAGUGUACUAGCUUUGAGUCAGAAAGAUAAACUACUGAAUUAAUGCUAGUAGGCUAAUAAGCAUAAAUAAAAAGAGAAACAAACCGGCAUGUUCACCACUUCAGAAUUUUUUGAAUCAGACAAUUAAGUUUUGAAUAGCAUAUUCUCCCUUUCUACUUUUUGUUCGAAAACUAAAUAAAUGGCAGAUUCUUAAGGAUCAACCUUGCAGAUAAUAUAACCGACAAUCUACCGCGCAUCGAAAGAGAAAAGGCAACAACUGUCAUAUUACGUACACUCGAUCUUUCUUUUCUUUCACGAGUAAAUUUAGGAUUAAAAAGCUCAAUUGAAAAGGGUAAUUGACUUCUACCAAAUGCACACAGUAUGAGAGGCCACAAUCAUGUUCCAAUCCGCCAAACAAAUUUUGCCAAAUUUACUUCUCUGAAUCAUCUAUUACAGUACUUUUUGGUAACUGGAAAUUCAAGUUAAAGUGCAUUUUCGUCGUGAAGAACUUCGUAUCAUCUUUGAAUAAAAGAAAAGAAAGGACUCUCAAUUGUCCAUGUCAUCAGGACAAAGUCUUUUCAUUCCAUGAUUUGCCGCGAAUUGCAUUGAAUUGAUACAGCAUUUAAAGCAUCAAACCUAGGGAAUUUUUAAAGUAUUUGAAAGUAAUUAAUCUAGAUGCAAGCAAUCUACCUGUUUCAGGAAGCCAGCACCAAAAGCUCUUGUCACCUUCAGCGAGCCCUUCACGCGAUCAUUGACAAUGGCUGAAGAAUCGUCAGGGUGCUCAUUCCUUAUUCUGCGAACUUCCUGAGACCAUUUAACCAAACCAAUCUCAUCACCCAAAAUAUGACCAAAUUAAAUCAAAAUAAUUAUUACAACAUCCUAACAAGCAUUACACCCAAUUAUUAUUUGAUGCGAUAAAUUAAACUGAUUAUCAAAAGCAUUAGAAAAAUAACGAGAUUAAAUUAAACUAUAGCAAAAAUUGAAGUAAUGAGAAAUCCAAAAAGACCCCAAUUACUUACUUCUUCAACACAAGUACUAUGAUCCAAGGUAAGCUGCCGCGCCGACAAGCUAUGCAGAUACCCUCCGAGAUCAUCCAAAAACUCCUCAUUGAUCUGCUCGAGGCCCGUACCGGCCGAUCUUCGAGAUCCGUGCUCCGAUUGCGAGGCCAAGAUGGCGCGGCUGUCGCCGACGUUCAUGAGAUACACAUCCUCCCCCUUCAUGACCAUCACCAGAACACACGAGCCCAUCAAGGCCAACUCAGGAUUUUCAUCGAGCAUCUUAUCCGCGGUGUCCAAAUACUCCUCCUCUGUUUUCUUGAGCGCUUUGGAGAGGGCCUUCAACACCUCCACGUGGCUAGACGUGAUCGGUCUCCGGCUGGGAUCGGACGGUCGGGAGAGAUCUCUACUAGCUCUCCUCGGCUUCCCGGCGUUGACCGGCGGGCGUUGACCUCCGCCGCCGCCGCCCUCGUCGUCGUCCCAGAGGAGGCCCCUGAGCUCGCGGUGGACGGCGGUGUAGAGGUGGGACAGGAGGUAGUCGGUGGCGUCGGGGCCGUUGAAGCCGUCGUAGAUCCCGACGAAGACCCAGCCCCCGCCACCGCCGCCGCCGCCGGAGGGGUCGGCGGACGGGGCGUCGUCCGGGGACUCGGAGACGACGACGUGGACCCUGUCCUCGCCGGCCUUGCCCUGCGCCCACUGGAGGGGGAGGGUUAAGGUUAGGGUUUGGGGAUCGGGGGAGGCGGAGUCGGAUCGCUUCGGGGCGAAGGCGGAGGAGGAGGGGACGGCGCGGGAGAUGAUGGCGUUGGAGAGGCCACGGAGGAUGGACGCUGCGGAGGCGAGUGGGCGGGGGGGCCGGGGGAGGCGGCGGCGGCGGGGGAGGCGGAUUGUGUGGGAGAGGCUGCGGCGGAGGAGGGUGGAGGAGGAGGAGGAGGAAGUGGGGGAGGAGGCCCGGGGGUCGAGGGGCCCGGAGAGGAAGCCGCGCUCGAUGGGGCCGGAGAGGAAGCCGCGGUCGCCGGCGAUGGGGCCGGAGAGGGGGCCGGAGGAGAAUGAGUCGGAGCUCUCGAACGCACCUCCGCCGCCGCCGACGCCGGAGUCGGAGGAGGAGGAGGCGGGGGGGAGGAGGAAGAGCGAGGUGGAGAGCGGGGUGGAGGCGUUGGCGCUGAUGGCGGCGCCGGAGAUGGAGCGGAACGUCGUCGUCUCCUCUUCCACCACCGCCGCCGGAGGAGGAGGCGUUGGCGCUGAGGGGGGCUCGGGGCGGAGGUAGCAGAAGGAGUGGCCGAACCCCUCGUCGCAGGGGUCGGAGGGGAGGGCCGCCGGCGCCACGUGGCGGCGCCGGAUUUGUCGCGGCCCCCCGGCGAAGCAGAGCGUGAGCUUCGCGCAGCCGUUGCCCAUCCUAUUGCUAUUGCUAUUGCUAUUGCUAUUGGUUCGUGCUGGGAAAGAAGAGAAGGAGAGAGAAUAGCUUAGAGAGAGAGAGAGAGAGAGACACAGACACACACACACAGGGGAUGUGGUGGUGGUGGUGGUGGUGGUGGAGGAAUGGAGGAUGGGAGGAGAGUUGACUUAAGGGAGUGGGUGGGAGUUGAAAUGUUGGAAUUGGUUUUUCUUUUUCUUUUUCUCUCUCUUUUUUUUUUUGAUUUUUCUAUUUUUCUAUUUUAUUUCUCUUCUUCCCACUUAGGCGUUGACCCGUGAGGGGGUCUCCGCCAACCCUGUAGUUCCUGGGCCGCAGAUUUGUUAGCGGGGGAAGAAGGAUUUCUUCUUCUUUUUUUUCCCUUUUUUUCUUUUGCAGACCAGUCCAGAAGCUAAAGUUUAGCGGGGGAAGUUUCAGCACACUCGCAAGCAAAAUGCAAAUUACACGAAAUAUAUAGAUUAGAAAUGGCCCGCAAAAGCGAAGGGGGAGAGGGGAAUACAGAGAGAGACAGAGAAUGUGGGAAAUUUGUCAAAGGAGCGCGGCUGCGCAGGAAUGCGUGCCGCAGGGGUGGUUGGAUCGUGAGCGGGAGUUGACCGACACGUGGCGGUCGGAGGUGGUGUCGCCGUGCGGGUUCGUCCAACCUGCUCCCGCGUCGGAUGCCGGGGGAUCCGCUGCAUGCACCACAAAGCCUACGUACAAGGGAGGUCCAACAAUAUGCCGACACGUGCACAUUCUCUCCGCAAUUCCCUUCAUUUUGUUUUAUUUUAUUUUCCUCAGUACUUAGUACUUGUGUUUUUUAAUUCAUAAUAAUAAUAAUAAUAAUAAUAAAACUUAGUUGCUGGCUCUAAUUGUACUCUAGCUGAGUUCAAAAUUUGAGCUGUCUAAGCCCAUCCGUGCUUUUAAUGGGGCAGAAAAUUUUGAAAUAAUUUUAGGAGUUUUUUUUUUUUCCUCUUUAAAUACAUGGUUGUAUAUUACAGUGGUAGCUGUCGAUGCAAAAAUGCUAAUCCCUUAUAAUUUAUUGCUUACGACACGAACGAAAAUUUAAAGUUUAAGUCUUUAUCUUUGAUUGCUGUCAAAUGUUGUUGGAUGUUAUUUCUCUAAUAAGAUUAGAAAUGCUUGCAAAGCGUAAAAUUAAUAAACACUAUCUGAAUUGCAUCUUCUUAAAUGCUUUAUAAAUUUAAUUAAUAAUGAUAAGAAUGGCACCUUUUGCAACAUAUGUAUGAUUAUGCGGAAAUGUAUAGAAGUUAAUUUCACUUUCUAUAAGAAUAUUUCUUUUAUGUCGAAAAAGGAGAAAAAGUUGGAUGUGAUAAAUAAUAAUGAUGAGGAGGCAACAACUUAAUAAAAUCCAGCCAUGGACCUAAGACCAACAUUUAUUGCAAGAAAAAUAUGAAACAUGCCCCAAAACAACAAGGUAUUUUUCGAGAUAAAUAAAUAAAUUAAUAACCACUUAUUUCAAUUAACAACUAAGUUUCUUUUACUUUUGAAUUUAUUGGUUGAAAAAUUGCUCUAAAAACUUUAAUAAAUACAUUAUUCUAUGCAGUAAAGAAAUUUUUUUUUUCUCUUUUCUUCUAUUUUAUGAUGGUAUCUUGAUGCAUUUAAUUUUGUGUAGGUUUUAGUUGGGAGAAAUGGGGAGGUGGGGAUUCUUUAAUGAGCGUAGUUUGUUGGUAUGUGUGGAAUAAAUGAUACGGUAGAAAUAAAAGGUGGUAAUUGUGGCACCGGAUCAAUGAGGGGUGUGGGACUUGAGUGGGAGUAAAUAUUAUAAGUAUAUUGCUUAGAAUUUUUCGUAAUUAUCAUGCUGAUAAAUAUUAACAGAGCAAUAUAAUACAUACAUUCAAAAGAAGAUAUAUAAUGUAUACCGCAUUCAUUCAAAAAGAAAAAAAAAUUUCGAGCUACGUUGAUGUGACAGGGAAGAGCUAGCCUCUAUAUUUUAGAAUAUGUAGGGUGUAAAGAUAAUAUAUUUACCACAUUAAUGUAUAAGUACACCUGUAUAAUACUUAUUCUGAAAGCACACACGUACAUACGUGUGUGUGUGUGUGUGUGUGUGUGUGUGUGUGUGUGUGUGUGUGUGUGUGUGUGUGUGUGUAUAGAAAUAGAGUUACCUGCUGAUUAAAGAAUCACAAAAUUAACAGUUUUUUACGAUCUAUAUGAGUUGUUUAUUUGUUUAACGAUGUAGAGCAAUUCAAACUGGUUGAAUUUUCGAUAAAAAAUCGGUUAUAUUAUUUCGAUAGUGUUUAAUAAUUCCGAUUAUGAAUUGAGAAAAUUUAAUAUAUAUUUUCACAAAGUUAUUUAUUUUUAACUGUUUAUUUUUCGACUCUUUGAUGGACUUGAUAACAAUUUUUAAAAUUUAUGAAAUUUAAUUUUUAGACGUUUUAAAUACUCUAAAUCAACUUUAACGACUCCGAUCAUCGAUUUGAAAUCUCUAUCAUCUAAAACGAUUUAGGAAGACGAAGGCCUCCGUCCUUCUAAAAACAAAGCAGCUGAACUCUCUCUUUUUAUAUAUAUAGAGAGUCCAGCUAUUAUACUAUCAAUAGUACUAAGCAUUUAGUGCUACCAAGUUUUUCGCCGUUAGAUCUCUUUUUUUGACUAUUUUUAUCUGUUAAAUUAUAUUAUUGAACCAAAAAUCCACUCAAUUCUGGGGGAUUACUAUCAUCCUAAUCGUAUAUCUCUUUACUUCAAAAGCCGAGUCGCACUAAUAUCUUGAUGCUAUUAAUACUAUAGUUGUCCGAAUCUAUAUAAAUAUAUAUAUAUAAAUCGAUUAAAUCUUCUACAUUAUGGGCAUCAGCAAAACAGUGAGAGAUAGAGAGAGAGAGAAAAAAAAAAAAGUGAAUAGUGUAAUACAUAAAUCUUAGGCUAGGAAUAGAUCAAAGAGGGAUUUAAUUUGGGUGUGUGGUUGGUGAUGUCACACUCCAAUUGAUUCCCACUGGAUUCAAAAGGACAUACCAGCUCAGCAUAAUAACUACCCCUUUUGGAUUCUUUUAGGCCAUUCCAUGAUCAAUGUUUCCUAGCCUUUGACUUUUUCAAUUUUAAUAUUUUUGGUCCAUUUUUUAAAAGGUUAUGGUUGGAUUAAUUAUUCAUGGAAAAUCUCGUAGAUCAUUGCCCUUCUAUCAACAGUAAUUUGAUUUUUUUUUUAUUUUUUGUGUGUUGACGAUUAAUUUGUGCACAUGUACUUUGGAGUUUACGUUACUCUUGUACAAUUUUAUUAAGCAUACGUAUACAUGCGCACACGAAAGAAGAGAAAGAAGAAGAAGAAAAUGUGUAAUAUAUAUAGAAGCUCUUUCAUGGAGUUGAAAAGGAAGAUGAAAUACCUUCUGCAAAGAUACAUCCCGUCGCAUACACACCAUCGAACUUUAAGCACAUAAAAUUUUGAUAAAUAUAUAAAUGGUUAGUUGUUCUCAAAAAAAAUAUAUAAAUGGUUAGUGGAGUUUGAGCAACAUCUUGUUCGUGUGCUUGUUACAAAAUUUUCCGAACUUGCUUCUUUUUUUUUUUUAAGAGCUUGAUUGAAUUUACAAGUUUCUUCCAUGUUGCGCUUCACAUAUAUAAUAAUUCUUUUUUGGGAAAACUUUAAAAACCCUUGUAGUUUUACUUUUUUUUAUUUUAGUAUCCUAUAGUUUAAAAUGUAUCAAAUUAGUACCACGUGAUUUCUCACUUUAUCACUUUAGUACUCUGUGGUUUAAAGUGUAUCAAGUUAGUACCCGUGGUUUUGCACUUUAUCACUUUAGUACCAUGUGGUUUCGUACUUUAUCACUUUAGUAUCCUGUGGUUUAAAAAUCACAGGGUACUAACUUGAUACAAAAUUAAAACCAGAGGGUACUAAAGGGAUAAAGUAUAAAACCACAGGGUACUAACUUGAUACACUUUAAACCACAUGGUACUAAAGUGAUAAAGUGAAAAAACACGGGGUACUAACUUGAUACACUUUAGACCACAGGAUACUAAAAUGAAAAAGUAAGAAACCACAGGGGAGAUUUUUGAAAUUUUUCCUUUCUUUUUUUAAUUACUAUUGGAGGCCUUUCUUUACUUAUCAUUUCUUGUUACUCAUACGUAGUAGGCGAUGGUGCGUGGAUUAUGUUGAAUACUCACGCAUAUUUAGUACAAAGUAUCAUUUAGAGCCAAAUAGGCUCUAAAAGUAGAACUUGUUAAUAUUAACUUAAUUGUAUGACCUAUUUUUAUGAAAUUUAUAACCUAAAGCCACUAAAUAAACACUAGUGUUUGCCUACAUAUGUCUAGCUAUAAGAUGGAGUAGGUUAUCUUCAUUUCAUUAUUAAAACCAUAGAAAACAUAGAUGAGAUAAAAGGAUCGAGGGUGUACCUAAGAACCCUAAUUCUAAAUUCCUAGUGUGAAUUAAGUCUCCUCUCACUAAUACUUUUAUAUAUCGUUUUUUAAGAUAAUCCAUUGCACAUGUAUGAAAGUGCUCAAACUAAGCCCAAUAAUGCGAAGGAAAAUGAGAAAAUUACAUGCAUAUCCUAUAAAAUUAGUUAUUUAAGUCCAUACAUACCCUUUGAAGUUUUUUAUAAUUUACAUUUGCGACCUACCAUUAAUAUUUGGAUAUCAUAUGUACCAUUCAGAAAAUUCACCUUUCUAUUUAUUUUUUUGUAUAUGUAUAUAGAAAACUAUUGUGUUUAAUUUACGUAAUACUCCUAUGUGAAAGGUUUUUUUUUUUAUCUUUUUCCAAUUCACAAUCAAUUUAUAGAAGAAAAUUUCAAAUUAAAGUCAAAAUUCCAAAGAAACAAUAUGCAGAUUGAUUUUAUGAUGGUAUAAAUGUAAAUAGCAAGUUUUGUAGGUUAUAUAUAUAUAUUUAUGUAAAAAUCAAGUAACCAUGCCAUCAAUGAAAGAGACAUUUUUUUAGUAGUUCUAUGCAAGUGUCUUUAUUUAUUUUUCCUUGGUCAAUUAUCUAUCAGAUUGUCCAGGGGUUUCCUAAUCCAGACAGAGGAGACAAUGGCCAUUUGCACCAAAUCAUGACAUUAUUCUACAAAUAUUUUCUCCCACAUAUUAAUUGCAUAUUGUCAAUGUCAUAACAUAUGUAUAAUGUCACAUAUGUAAUGCUCCAGAUAUGCAAAAAGAUUCGCCAAGUUGACGAGUUAGAAUUUUAAUUUAUCAUCUGAACAUGAUGCAAAUGUGAAAAAUUUUAAUCCCAAACGCAAAUUUUGGGGGAUGGGGCUAACUAAUCCUAUCCUAAAUGGACUAGCCCGGAUUAGCUCAUUUAGGGUGGGAUAGCUAACCCCACCCUACCCCAAGAAUAGGGGUGGGAUUAAAGUUAAUCCCACCCCUAUUUAAUUUUUAAUAUAAUUUUAAAAUUUUAAUUUUAAAUUAUAAAUUUUUAAAAUUUAUAAUAUGUAAUCUUAAAAUUAAUAGUAUUUUUUUUAAAAUUUAAAUUUAAAUUAUUUAAAUUUUAAAUUUGACAUUAUAUAUUUAAAAAUUUUAAAGUAUUUAAUUUGUAAUCUUAAAAUUAAUAUUUAUAUUUUUAAAAUUUAAAUUUAAAUUAUUUAAAUUUUAAAUUUGACAUUAUAUAUUUAAAAAUUUUAAAGUAUUUAAUUUGUAAUCUUAAAAUUAAUAUUUAUAUUUUUAAAAUUUAAAUUUAAAUUUUAAAUUUUAAAUUUUAAUUUCAAAUUUUAAAAUUUAAAAACUAAAAUUUAAAUAUAAAAAUUAGGAUAAAAUUAUUAUUUUCUAUUUAUAACAACCCGCUAUCCUUCUUAUUCCACCUACUCCAACCAAACACUAUUUUACUUAUAUCUGGACUAAACCUAAUUCUUAACCAAACACAAAAUUACUCUAACUCGACCUUAACUCUGAACUUAACCCUAUUUCUGAAAUAACUAGUUUUUACUUAACCCCGAACCAAACGGAGCCUUGAGUAUCAUCAGCAAGUUCUCACCUUACAAAAGCUGACUCACGAAAUACAUAUAUACUAGGGUACCAUAGAAUUAUUCAACUUAUACUGGUCAUAGAUCAUUAACACAUCUUUGAAAUCUCACAUGAGAUGGAGAGUCACAAAUAGGAUAUUUAGAUGAGAUCCUUUGACUUUCUUGGAGUUUGGAGUAAUUCUGGCCAAUUAGGAGCUAUUCUUGCAGGGAUUUGAAUUCUAAAGCACUUUCAUAGAUAAUCUUAUUAAUUAAAGAAUUGCUUUAGUCAAAAGAAAUCGCCUAAAUCCUGUUUUCAAAGAUCCUUGUGGACUAUGUGACAUCUGUUAACUUAUAUAAAUUUUUAAUAUUUUUUAUCACGUGGCAAGUUGUCCUUCGCCCUUACCAUCAUUUGACCAUUUUCAUUUCCUUCAUCAAACUUUUAAUUAAUACAUCUAAACGUUAUCAUUACUAAACUAUCAAUGACAAGUUGUCCUUCACCGCAUUUGACCCUUUCCUUUUAAACUUUCAAUUAAUAUACUUAAUUAAUACAUCUAAACUAUUAUCAAACUUUCAAUGACAAAUUGUUCUUCACCCUAUUUGACCAUUCCCUUUUUCUUCAUGAAACUUUCAAUUAAUAUAUUUAAUUAAUAAAUCUAAACGUUUUUAGUACCAAACUUUUCCUCCACCAAAUUUUUCAUAUUCAAUUAAUUCAUUAAUUCUCUUUUCCUCAUCUUUUUUCAUACAUUGUUGCCUUCCUCCCUCUCUCACUAAUGUGCGCUCAUGUCCCCCCUCCGUCACAGUCGAAAGAAUUGUCAUCAUUUUCACUAUCAUUGUCGUCGGAGAAGGCAUCGUCGGUUCCAUAUAUCGAUCCCUGCUACUAAUAGUGAGGGACCUUUUGUGACUGUAUCAAGUGAGGAACACAAAAAAAUAUUUGAUGUUAUAUAUCUUAUUAUAAAUUACUCCUAUAAUUUUUAUCUACUGCAAAGCGCGGACUCCUUUACUAGUAUAUAUAUUUUUAGUGUUGAAUAUAUAACUAUGCAUUAAAUUGCUCAUUUCUAGAAGGUUAAGCUUUAAACACAUGGUUGGGUAGCGUGUUAGCCUUUUUUUUCAAAAAACAAAAUUUGGCAUGGUUGUUUUAUUUGAGAUCGUACGUAGAUUAAUUGUUGAAAAUUCUUUGAUUAAGAAAAAAAAUAUAUAUAUCUUCUGACUUUUAACUUAAAAGGAUACUAUUAGGACUUUCCAGACCAAUCCAUCUUAGAUGGAUGAGGUAUUCGAUUAGGAUCCGUAGUUCUUAGAUUAAUCAAAUCCGGAUUAAUACAUGAUAACGCGGAGUAAAGUAUCGUUAAAACCUUCAUUAAAAUUGCAAAUAUUCCUAGAGCAUGCAACAUCUUGAGCUAACAUUCCAGUUGACUUUUCACUGUUAUGGACGAUAAUUAAGGAAGGAACUUCAAGUAAAUCGAUUUGGAUCUAUAAAGGAUCUAACUUUGAUCCGAUAAGCUUUAUUAUCUUCUUAAUUUAUUUCCUUUUCUUUUUGGAAACAAGUGUAUGAUUGCAUGGGCGCGGUGACCCGGUUCAGUUCGCGAUGAUAGCGGCGAUGGCCGGAGCAGCAGCAAUAGAUACUUAUGGUGGGGUGAGCAUUAUGGUGACACCCUAACACUUUGUUUUGGUUAGUGGAUGUUAGGUCGUAUCGCAUACCAAUUACAAACCUAUUAAAUGACAUACGUGAGAAUUGAAUAUGGCCUCUUAUAAAGUUUAGAAUGUUUAUACUUUUUCAUAUUUUUCAGAAAAUCAACUCUGAUAUCAUGUAUCGUCCAGAAUAAUAAUAUAUAUACGAGAAAAAAAUGUGUUUACUAUAUUUGCUGCAUCAAAAAUUGAGCACCAACAUACCAUCUCUAUUUUCAAUGAACCCUAUUCAAGAAAUAACUAAAGCAAGCCUUAGGAAGGAUGUCCACACAAUAACUACUCCAUGAAUAUCACAUGCUUUGAUGUUUGGUAAUAAUCAUUUAAAUAAAACUCUCAUUCUUAGAGUCAGCCUUAGGAAGGAUCCCAAAGUCUCCAUUGGAAAUUUAAACAACAAAAUUAAAGAAGAAUAGUUCAAAUCAAGACCUAAAAUCUUACUCUUAGACCUCUCAAAUUAAUCUUCUAAACAAGCACAUGGAAGUAGUCCACCAAUUCAUGCAUGUGUUUUUCCGACUCUUUACCCUUCUUAAUUGUCUUUUACUUGCUCUCACAAUUUAGGACUCAAUUGUUCCACACAAGUAAGAGGUUUGUGUGCCUCCAAGUAGAGCUUCUGUACUUUUCUUUCUUUUUUUGAGAAAUAGAUAUAUAGUAUGCUAUUCGUUUCGUUUAUUUUAUUUAGAAAUAAACUUAACUGGAAAUAUGAAUCAAUUAGGAUUCAACCUUGAAACCUCGGGUACCAAUCACUAAACCCUUUACCACUUACGCUAGAUACGGUCGGUGAGCUUCUAUAGUUGGUUGGAGAUCGAAUUUGUGUUAGCAUUUUCAUUAAAAAUCGCUCUACCAGCUUUAGAUGUUUUUGAAAAUAGAAAGUUUUCUCAUUUUAACUUCUCCUCACAGCCAGAAACUGAUCAUAUAACUUUUUGUCGGCUAAAUGAGUCUUUUUUCUUAUCAAAUAGGGAAAUCAUUUCAGUAGCCGAACCAAUUUAAUAAACAUAUAACAUGUAAUUGUAGGCGACGAUGCAAUCCAAAAUUUGUUCUUAUGCUCAUGUGAAUUGAAUCCUAAUUAAUUCAAAGGAAAAUGGGGGAAGUGAUAGACUUUGCAAAAUAUCAACAAAAUUUUCUUAUUCCUCCUACUUUUCAACCCAAUGACUUUGAACCCUAACAUCCAUGAGCCAUUUUAGGAAAAAUUGUUCCCCUCAUUACUAAAAGUCUAAUUAAUGAUAUAUUAUAUAAGGUGAGGGGUUUUGACUCUUGCGUUUUGACAUCAUGAGCCGUUGAAAAUGGUCUAUACGCGGCGGAUAUACCCCACGUGUCCGCCACUAGUAGGGCACGAGUUAUUAGACAUCAUCUCUUUGGACUUUGACCAUUUGUCAUCAAGGCAUCAACAUCAUGGCCAAACUUUGCAAAAUUGAAUUGGUAAUGUGUGAUCCUCUUUUUUUUUUUUUUCUUUCUCCUCCUCCAUUAGUCUUUGACCGAAAUAGCCUGUUUUGUCCAAUUUCAGCUUCUGCUUCAAGCUGCAGCUGUUUCUAAUAAAGCAAUUCGUAUACAAAACAGUUUGGAGCUCCCGAUUUAGUUUUCUGUUUCGUGUAGUUAGUUUCAAACUUAAAAAAAUAUGGUCGGAAAUUACCACGAGAAAAUAAAAACAAUGCGAUGCAACUGGUCCAACCUAAAAGAUCACUCUGCGAUUAUUAUUAUCGAGUUAAAUUGUCAGAUUUAUUGAUCUAAUAGGUUAUUGGCAUCUGGUACGCAAUCUUUCAAUCGAGAGAACCGCCGACGAACAUCGAACACGAAUGCGACCUGCGGGAUUUUGAUUAUUUUUCCAACUAGUAAUUAAGUCCGAUUCAGACCCAACCCAAGUCUUAUUGGACCAGCUAGCUUUGGUGGGAAUCUAAUAAGAAAGGGAUAUGCUGGCCAGUGAGUGAACACAACACUCAAAGGUGGCGCUAACCGCACUGUGUUAUUAUCAUUACUGUACACCCCUCUCACACUGUUCACUUUACAAAUUCCACUCCACCUUUGUCCUUAUUUGCACAAGUGCGUGCUUUUGGAAAUGGAGCACUUUGUUUCUGGAGCUUGUGGGGGAAACUAAAAGGGGAAAAAGGAAGAGUGUAGGAUUGUGAUGGAGGAAAAAUACAGACCAUACGAACUCAUUGUAUACAAGUUUGUAACAGAUAAGGCGUGUUGUUGUUUUCGGUGGCGAAAACGGUGGUGGUGGGUUCCACUACCAAUCUCAUUUGACUGAUCUUGAAUCGUAUUCUUUUUUCUUUUUCUUUUUUUUCUCUCUGAAAACUGUAACCAGUAGACCUCGUCGUGUGACACCACCAAUUUUAUUGGGCUGAUAAUGAAUGGGCUUCGAUCGUGUUGGAUCGGGCCAACAUGGAUUUCAGUGUCCAUCGGGCACUAUAUCAACUCGUAUGAUUAUUUCUUCGGACAAGGAAAUGAAAGAGCAUGACCAUACCAUAGGAUUGCCCCGUGCGUUGAAUAAUUGUACAUGAUAGUUUGCCCGAAGUUCAUUUGGACGAAUCCGGCCCGAUAUCUUAGGUUCGUAAUCGGAUUGAAUAUCGGAUGAUUCCGGAUUCGAAUCCAACUAAUCGACAGGUCCGAACCAUCUUAUUAACCCGGCUCAACCCAACCGGAUCGUUUUCCUGUUUGCGCCGCGGCGCCUUCCAACUCGGAUUCGAACCGGAAAUUCGAUCAUGGUGUUUCCCGCCGAACCCCACCUCGAGCAUCCCGCGCCCAGUCGCGGGAGAGCCGCGGAGCAACGGUGCCUCGCCCUCCUCCGCCGCGUCUCCUCCCUCUCCUCCCUCCUCCAAACCCUAACCUUUCUCCUCAAAUCCGGGCUCCAAUCCAACCCCCUCGUCCUCACCUCCUUCGCCGUGUCCCUCGUCCUCUCCUCCCCCGCACCCCACCUCCUCGACACCUUCCUCUUCAACACCCUCAUCCGCUCCCUCCCCCCGCCCCUCGCCCUGCGCUCCUUCUCCCUCCUCCUCCGCCGCCGCCUCCUCCCCAACCGCUUCACCUUCCCCUUCCUCCUCAAGGCGUGCGCCUCCCUGCCCCCCGGACCCACCGCCCAGGCCCACGCCUCCGCCCUCAAGUUCGGCUUCGCCGCCGACUCCUUCGUCGAGAACACCCUCAUCCACGCGUACUCCGCCUCCUCCUCCGACCUCGCGUCCGCGCGCAAGGUGUUCGACAGAACCCCCCAGACGAGCCCCGUGACGUGGAGCGCCAUGAUCGGCGCCUGCGUCCGGGGCGGCCGCUCCGGCGACGCCCUCGCCCUCUUCCGGCGCAUGCAGGAGCGCGGGGUCCGCCCCGACGACGUGGCCGUCAUCAGCGUGCUCUCCGCGUGCUCCGACCUCGGCGCGCUCGAGCUCGCGCGGUGGCUCCGCCGCUACGUGGAGCGGUCCCGCAUCCCCAAGUCGCCGGCGCUGUGCAACGCGCUGAUCGACGCCCUGGCGAAGUGCGGCGACGCGGGCGCGGCGCGCGCGGUGUUCGACGAGAUGCCGCGGCGCACGGUGGUGUCGUACACCGCCGUGAUCGACGGGCUGGCGAUGCAGGGGCGCGGGCGCGAGGCGGUGGGGGUGUUCGAGGGGAUGGUGCGGGCGGGCGUGGCCCCGGACGACGUGGCGUUCAUCGGGGUGCUGACGGCGUGCAGCCACAGCGGGCUGGUGGAGGAGGGGCUCCGGUGGUUCGGGGUGAUGCGGGAGCGGUUCGGCAUGGAGCCGAGGAUGGAGCACUACGGGUGCGUGGUGGACAUGCUGGGGCGGGCGGGGCAGGUGGAGCGGGCGGAGCGGUUCGCGCGGGCGAUGCCGGUGGAGGCGAACGCGGUGGUGUGGCGGAGCCUGGCGGCGGCGUGCCGCGUGCACGGGCGCCCGGACGUCGGGGAGCGGAUAGGCCGGCGGCUGAUCGCGGAGGAGCCGGCGCGCGACUCGCACUACGUGAUGCUGUCGAACGUGUACGCGGCGACGCGGCGGUGGGAGGAGAAGGGGCGGGUGCGCAGGCUGAUGGGGCGGAGAGGGGUGCGGAAGGAGCCCGGCUGCAGCGCGGUGGAGAUCGACGGCGAGGUCUUCGAGUUCGCGGCCGGGGGAGGAGGGGGAUCGGGAUCGGAGGCGGAGGCGGAGGUGUACGCGAUGGUGGAGGAGAUGAUGAGGGAGGCGAGGAGGGAGGGGUACGAGGCGGUGGAGGCGGAGGUGCUGGCGGACGUGGAGGAGGGGGAUGGGGAGGCGGGGGCGCUGCGCUGGCACAGCGAGAAGAUCGCGGUGGCGUUCGCGCUGCUGCGGUCGCCGCGCGGGGCCGCCGUGCGGGUGGCGAAGAACCUGCGGGUGUGCGCCGACUGCCACCUCGCGAUCAAGCUGGUCGCCAAGGCCUACGCGCGGGAGAUUGUGCUCAGGGAUCGGAGCCGCUUCCACUGCUUCAAGGAUGGCAUUUGCUCCUGCGGGGAUUUUUGGUGAUUAUUACAAUUUUUCUUUUUCUUUUUGAAUUUUCUCUGCCCUUCUGAAUUUUGCUGUCCAUUAUUUUGUAUCUGUGAUUCUGUAUCCAUCAUAUUAUCAUUUAUUAUUUUUGAAAAGUUUUAUUCCUCAUGAAGGAAACAGUUAUAGGUGGGUCGUAUCCGAAUAAGGGCCCAUUUUGAAUGAACAGAUAACUUAAGUUGUACAUUCCUUCAAUUUACGUAAAUAAAAAAUAUAUAAGAUUUAGCAGAUGAAUUUAGUCGAUGAGAAGUACUUUUAAAUAUGUAUAAUAAAUAUCAUAUUUGACUUUCUACUUUCAAGCCGUUUAUUUUUAAAAUAAAAAGCAUUCAACUUCUUAAACGAACAUACUAUUCUACUAAAUCAUAACACGAAACCGUUUUAAAAAACAAAAAUUAAAUUACUAAUUAUUAGUCCUACAAACCCCUGCCCAACAACAUUUCUUUUCUAAGAAAUAGCGAAAGCGAAUCAAGAGAGAUAAUCAGCAACCAACCUAUGGUAGGUAAUCUGCAAUGAGAUAAACAAGAACAUCAUCCUGAGUUGGCACAUUCCUAUAGAGUACAACUUUUCAGUCCGGUAUGCAAUUAGAAAAAUUGAGCUUCUUCAACCGAAAAAGAAGAAGAAAAUCUUGGAAAUAUAAAAGGAUUGUUGGUUUAAAGAAAUAGCAAGUAACGAACUGGCUCUGUAAAAAUGAUUCCAAUUGUGCCGACGCUUAAGUGCUUUAACUCUCUCUCUGGCUGAAGACUAACAAACACUAAGUUAGGUGUGAAUUUUCCAUAUUCCAAGCCCAUAGCCGACUCGAAUCAGAAUAAGCUCGAAUAGCAUGUGCGCGAUGCUCGUCAGGCGCACUUUUGACCCGGGUAUCUCAGACCAGUUGACCGAGAUCUCGAGCAUUGGGAUCCUGAGUUUCUUGCACAAGUACACAAGCUCAACGUCGAAACACCACCUAGCAUUAAAAGUAAUGUGUCAUCAAAAUAACUUCACAUUUGGCUUCUGCAGAACAUGUUAUACAUCUUUGCACUUUGCAGUCACAGAAGUAGUAGUUGAUAACAUUCAAGUAUAGUUAAAUAACAUUUCUGCAAUUCACGAUUAUCAUUUGAAGGAAACAAGGUUCAUCCAAGUACACCAAUUCAUUUUCAAGGAGAGUAAAGGAAUUUACUGAGAUGACAGACAUAGCAGAUUUACCUCUUCAAUCUGAUAUUUGUGAACAACUUCCGAGCAGCAGCCCUCGUGAACAUCUUAAAACCGCACUGUAGGAGGGAACCAAGUCAUAUGAUAAGUAAAAGGAAUAUUAUGGAGAUCUCGAAAUCAGGCUUACAAAAGAGAACACGAACAACUACAUCACAAUCAUCAUUAAACAUAUUUAGCCAUCGUUUAUUAUAAAAAUACCUGUGUGUCUCGAAUUCCAUGGCCUGCAGUCAGUAAAACUACUAGAUGGAAACCCUUCAUUAGGAAGUUCCGGUACCAUUUCCUCUGAAAAAGGAAAUACAAGAAACACAUAAGAAAAUAAUGCCCUAAAAAAUAAAAUUACAUAUAACAGCACUAUAGGAUAUCUGGUCUAGCUGGAGCUGCAAUAAAAGUGAUUUUCAACUAGAGCGGUUUAGAGACACGAUAAGAGCUCCUUCACUCGAAUAGCCUCAAAAGGUUUUUGAUGCAGUAGCAGUAGAAGCUUCAAAUUUGAACUUCUGAUGUGGGGCCUAGGAGCUCAUUUCAUCACCCAAACCAAAGCAAACACACUACUUUUGGUGUUGGAAACCGUGACUAUUGCUUCUCGGAGUAGAUAAGGAGUUCAUCAAGCCACACCUAACUGUUUCUAAAAAAAGAAAUGAUUUAAGGGUUGGAGCAAAAAGGAACAAACUGUAGCAAGAGCCUGCUUCUCCAAAUGAGCCCGUGAACCACAUGCAGCAAUUUCAGUGUCUGAGAGAUUUGAACUUGAACUAGUAGUAGUAGAAGCAACUGAGUUGACUUUGUUGACACUUCUAGCCAAUUCAUGUAUCUACAGUAAACAGGUAGAUUAAAACCACAGCAUCUUAAUUGCAAUCGCCGCCAGAAAAUUUCAUAUUUCAAGAAAUUACAAAUUUAAGUUUGGGCCAGACCUGAGAUUCAAGCUUUUCUAGGUCGGUCACCUUGGUUGCCCCAUCAGCAUCGAGCAUUAAAAGUAGUUCACCACGUGAGUGGAGCAUUCCCUGUUUAGACAAUGCUUUCGCAAAAUUGGGAAGCAUCAAUCAGAAUUUAAUUCAACACAACUUAACAGUUGAAAGAUAUAAAUAUACUGAGUUGAUUCAAAGGAAAGGUGGAAAGGGAAAGUAAUGGAAAAAGAAAAGAGACUAACUUUUCUGAUAGCUUCUCCUUUUCCAUGGUUUCUGCGAAGUAGAAGAACCCUCACAUUAUCGAUCUUGUACUUCCUCACAUAGUCAAAUGCUACUUUUGCUGUACGAUCAGUACUUCCAUCAUCAACUAUCAACACCUAUAAAGAAUAUAAAAUCCAGAAGAGAUCUCAACAUUCUUCAAGAGAUUAGAAAAGCAUACUACCAUGCCAUAAGGAAAAGUAUGAUUUAUUAAUUCAGCAAGUUAUCCAUGCAAGCAUAUACUCAAAACCUAACCCUAGCUUGCCUGAUCCAGGUCAUAUAGAUACAGAGUCAAUGGAGAUGCACCAAGAAUCAGCCCUACUCCCACCCAUACAUCCGUGCAUAUUUAUAUUGCAAACUAUCUUGCUAAGGACAAUAUUUUAUAAAUAGCAUUCUCAACACUGAAAUCAAACAAUUAAUACUAAACUUUGAAACAGGGUCUUAACUUAUUGACUAUAAAGAAUGUAAAAGAAUGUAACAAACCACUCAAAGUAUAUUUAGCCUUUACUAUGUAGUAUUAGAUUAAAUAAAAAGCGACCAUUGCUUUCCUCUCUUGCCUAAGGGGACACGUAAAUGCUGCUUCCAUCCCAACAAAAAGGAAAAAAGGGGAGAAAAUAAAGCAGUCUAGGUGCAAAACAAGACUAAUUCACAGGAACAAUAUAUCUUCUUCUUUGUGCAAUAGUGAAUGUCUGAUUGACUUUACAUGCGAUCAUAUGCAGAGACCAAAUUCAACUUGAGUUUAGACAUAGAUAUCAGUCUCAUUGUUGUUCAAUGAGUUGAAUAUACUUGAGUUUCUGAGUUUCCUAUGUACCUCAUAAGUAAAGGACUUUUCUGUUGCUGAACGUUGUUGUAGAUAACUGCAAAAAAGGGAGAAAGAUGUUUAUAAGUAGCAAACUUCAAGCCCCACGUUAUCAACCCCCACCCCCCACACCCCCACUCUUUCCCCCUUUUCUCCUCUUUUCUCCUUUUCUCUAUAUAUAUAUAUAUAUAUAUAUAUAUAUAUAUAUAUAUAUAUAUAUAUAUAUAUAUAUUACCUAUUUAUUAUACAAAGCUAUGGUAGAACAAAGGGAAAAUACUAACAGCAGUCAAUGGCUUAAAGAAAACAUGCAGUAGAAAAUUCAUCUAUCAGACUUACCUCAGUGUUUCAUCAAGAGUUCCAGGAAGCCUAUGCUCCUCAUUAUAUGCAGGAAUAAUCAAUGAGAUGUACUUUUCAGCAGGAUCAAAAAUUGAAGGGCAAGGGACCUGGCAAAUGUAAUUUAGAUAUUAUUAGUGCUAAAAUAAGCUAAAAAAUUGCUUGAAAAUUGUUAUAUCAUGUAUAAAGCAUGGUCUCAAAAGCUGCGAGGGGUUAACAGAGAAAUGAAGUCCUGCCUUAUACUUGCUAGUUGCUAUUAUGUACGUGUGCUUAAAUCAGAGGUACAUCAAGAUUCGGUAUCAAGUAAGCAGCAUGAGAGAGAGAAAGAUAAGGUUCUUGUUCUGUUGUAAAAAUAUUUGACCAAAUAUGCACAGAUAUCUACUAUAAUUAGAACAAAUAACAAUAAGUAGUUAUGCUUCUGGAAAAACAAAAAGAAGGGAAGAUGUCAUUCAACUGCUUUAUUUAUAUUCUGCCAUUAGAGUCAGAUUUUUUUUUUCCCCGCUCAACAUUCUAACUAGAUUUCAGAGCACAAAUCGUUGUCAUUUUAGUUUCUUCUCGUUUCAGUAUCCCCUAAACAUAAAAUGAAGAAAAGCAUUAAGGGGCGCACAGUGUGCACAAAGCUCUUGCCGUGCAAGCUCCACGGAUUGCAAGGCUUACAUAACUUUAUUUUGAAUGCCCAAGAGAUAAUUUCCAUAACAUGAAUCCGCCAAAAAAACAUGGGUCUACCAUUGAACAAUAUGGAUCUACUUUGUACACCAAGUGACGCUAUUAUGACUUAUGAGUAAAACCUACAUGAUGAAAUUUUCCCAAGAAGCAGGAGAACUACUAUCCAUUCUCCUAGUAGCACUUCUCAGCACGGCACUUCAUCACGCAGGACUACAUACACCCUACAACAGGGCCAAACAGGCUCGUAAACAAACAUACAAUUUAGUCGCACCGGUUCAGUUACCAGAAAAAAAAAAAAAAAGGGGAAAGACGCCAUUAAAUCAUUUUAUCUCUUCUAACCUAAAAAUUCUAAGUAAUUCAUCAAGUAUCAAAUUUUGCAUCACAUAGAAUACUCACCACUCCUUGUAAUCAAAGCAUGAGCAACCAAUCGAUUCCAUCAAACUUUUCAAGACAAAAUUUAACAAAUUUCCAAAACAAAUGCGCAUCGAUGACAUUCUCACCUUCUUCAAUGAGUUGGGAUCCUCGAAGAACGCAUCUGAAACAGCGUCUCUCUCCAACCUGAAUCAAAAUCCGAAACAAAUCAUACAUAUUUCGAUUCCCACGCUCCAAGGAGAGGUAAAAUCCGAUCAAGACCUCGCGAUCGGGAUGGGAAAUGAGAGAGGGGGGAACUUACGAGUGCUUGCAUCCGAUCUUCCUCACGUACUCGAGCAGGAAAGCGGAAACGCCGAGCACCAUGACCACAACCUGCGAAUGGGAAGAGAGCAAUAAAGAAUGAGCAGCGAGAGAGAGAGAGAGAGGGGGGGAUUAGGGUUUAGGGGAGAGGGGGGAGGAGACGAACGAGAGAGAAGAGGAGGAGGGAGAGGGAGAGGGAGAAGGGGAGGAGGUGGUGGUGGUGGUGGUGAGUCGCGGGCGAGGCCAUCGUCGUCGUCGUCGUCGUCGCCGCCCCGCUCCGCGCCGAUGAGCCCAACUUAUACUUGGUCUACGGAUGAGCCAUCAACAUAUUACGUACUACUACGGUUAGCCUAGUCCUUAACAAAUCUACCCCGGCCCGGCCCGGCCCAUUACGCUCGGCCCUUUUACCCGCUUUCUUAAUUUUUUAAAAAUAAACCGAGUUAGAAAUAUAGAGCAGAUUCUGAACUUGAAAUUUUGGGCAUCUGAUAUAAUUUUUGAUCUACAUAAUUAAAGAGUUUAGAGAAAAAAUCACAUGGUCUUUGCAAAAUAUUAUUUGAUUUGCGGGAAAUGGCUCUCCAAAAUUUAUAUAUAUUUUUUUAUAUUUAUAACAAGCAUAUUUUGCUUUUGAAACUUCGCUAUUUUUCAGUAUGAUGUAUCAGUGUAUGAGAUAUGCGUAUACAUCCAGCGCAUGUAACAAUUUGUCAUUCUCAAGAAUGUCUAUGAGAUCAAAGUUUGAUUUUUAAUGAAGUGAGAUGCCAUUUCAGGUCUAAUAUUAUUUAUCAUUAUAUUUGGUUUACAGCAGUGUCUCUAAAAUAGGAGUAUUGUUGUAAUUAACAGCAAAUUGAACUUUCCAAGACUAACUCAUCUGAAACAAAAAAAUUUCACUUAACGCAAACAUUAGGAUUCAAAUUCCAAAUUAAAAGGAAAACAAGAUUGUUGUAAUCAGCAGCAAAUUGAACUUUCCAAGACUAACUCACCUGAAACAAAUACUUCCACUCGCGCAAACAUUAAGAUUCGAUUUCUAAACUGAAACGAAAACACGAAUAUCCAAACAAAACAGUUCCAAGAACAGCUAAAGCAAAAAGUACACGCUCGCUCCUAAACUGUCCAAAUCAGUAUUCAGCAGUCCUGCAACUACAAAGAAAAUCCUGGACCCACAAAAACGACAGAAAGGAAAAACGUUUCAAACGAGUGCCAUGCACUCCAAAGAAGAACCAAGAACUAGGACGUAUUUGCAUUCACAGGCCCAGAGAUUGUACCCAAAAAAGGAAAAAGAAAGCAGGGGGUUCAAUGCACCGCACAUCUUCAUCUUCAUAACAAGGCCCAGCUAUUCUCCUCUCGUAUCUCUGCUUCUUCCUCAGGGGUGAAAUCGUUCUCAAUAUUAAAGAGCUUUCGUAUCUCUUCUACGCUCUUCCCCCGAAUCAUGCUCGCAAUCUUCUGGCAACAUGAGUCCAACAAGUCCUCGACCACCAUAAAAUUCGCCACCUGAAAUUUACACAGAAUUAGAAUUAUCAUUCAAUUGCUAGUAUACAUGUAAUAUAUAUACAUAUAUAUAUGAACUAGUAUAUAUAACGUAUUUGCAUUUACAGCGCACAGAUCACUUACAGUAAAUUUAGUUUGUUUCAAAUUUACCAAAUGAGAUAUACAAUUACACGAAUCAAUCAGGAGAUCUCAUUAAUCUUUCUAGCAAUGCUACUUGUAGACUAGUCUUAUAAUUAUUUAUUCUUAUUUUUUUCAAUCCUAAAGAAUCAAAAGAAUUGAUUCAAAAUUUUGAUUUCUUGCAAGUGCAAACAAAUUUUCUGAGAGUAGGAAACAAUAACUAUUAAGCUUUAAACCAUAGUGACUAAAAGGGAGAACAAACUCUUACGGUCGAGAUAUCGUAGAGCGUGUUCACAGGGACGUUCAGGAAGCUGUGGUCCCAGCGCUCGAGAUCCAGCUUCGCGGCGGCCAGGUCGCUCUCUGUUCGGUCGCCGGCGGCCUCGAAUUCGGCGUGCUUCGUGCAGUAUUCGAAGACCUUUUCAAGGAUUUCAGCGGUGGCUAGUGGGAUCGGGAUGGCGGGGUCGUCUCCGGUGAGCUCCAUGACGUUCUUUAUCAACGUCGCCCGGGUCGCCACCGUCUCCGGCACCUCCAUUAGUUUGUCGUCGCAGCUCCUGAUCUUAACCAGCCUCUCCAUUCUUUCUUUUUCUCUCUCUCUCUCUCUCUCUCUGUUUACUAUCGUUGUGUAUGUGAUCUGGUACGCUCAUGGUGUUGUAUUUAACUAUUUAUAGGCAUUAGUCCUCGUUGGAUUAGGAUUGAAACGGUAUUAGGAUAAGGAAUUCUAUUAGAAUUUUUUUUUCUCCUUCUUUUUUUAAGGAAAAAACAGUUUUAGAAAGGAUUAUGCUCUGAAGAUUGGAUUGGCGGUUGCUACCAACUAAUAAACCGGUAGUGUUAACAACUAACUUGAAUAAAAGAUAUUCAUCAUAAAAGAAAACAACUGAAAAAAAAAGAAAAAAAAGAAAAAAAGGAAAACAACUGAAGUUUAGAUUGUAACUGAACGAACGGCCGCAAUUGCACGGUGCAUCUAACGAUCUGUUGCUAUCGGAUAAGUAUUUGAGACAUAAUUGGCUGCAAUUUGAUCAAAAUCUCAUAACUGUUAAUUUUUUUUAGACCACCACUAAAUAUUGAUCAAAAUUAUCACUACUAUCGAAUUAAAUUCUAAAUUUAAGAUAUUAAUAACAAUUUAGUAUUAGAUGUGGUGUAUGAGAUGUGCAAUGCAUCAAAAAUCGGGAAAAAAUUAUGUAGAGUAGAUCAGUGAAGAGCAUGUAAUUUUUGUUGGUCAAAACGGUCAAACGUCGUACUGCGGCCAACCUCAGAAUAAGGAGCGAAUGCCAUGCCCUUUUUAUCCUCGUUUCUAAUUUUGGGGGAGAAUAAAAUUAGCGUGAGCUAAUAAUAAUCGUGCGGGAUAAAUGGGAAUGGAUAGCUAUUCUCACCUCUACGUCGUCGUCGUCGACCUCCUCCUCCUCCUCCUCCAAUGGAGCCUCCUCCAAUGGCGACCAAAACCGUAGCUCUCCUUGUCGUCGUCGUCAUCGUCGUCGUCUCGGAGGCGCCGGGACAGGGAAAGGCCCUCUCGAUCGGCGUUAACUACGGCACGCUCGGCGACAACCUCCCCCCUCCGGCGCAGGUCGCGGCGUUCCUCCGCGACCGAACCAUAAUCGACCGCGUCAAGCUCUUCGACUCGAACCCCGACCUCGUCCGCGCCUUCGCCCUCACCGGGAUCUCCGUCACCGUCACCGUCCCCAACGGCCUCAUCCCCUCCCUCGCCGAUCGCCGCGGCGGCGCCGCCGCCGCGUGGGUGGCGGCCAACGUCGCCCCCUUCUACCCCGCGACGAACAUCACCCUCGUCUCCGUGGGCAACGAGAUCCUGGCCACGGGCGACCGCGCCCUCGUCGCGGGCCUCGUCCCCGCCAUGCGCCGCCUCUCCGCCGCCCUCUCAGCCGCGGGCCUCCGCCGCGUCCGCGUCUCCACCCCGCACUACCUCGGCAUCCUCGCCGUCUCCUGGCCCCCCUCCGCCGCGCGGUUCCGCGGCGGCUACGAGCGCCGCGUCUUCGCCCCGAUGCUGCAGCUCCUCCGCGAGACCCGCUCCCCCUUCGUCGUCAACCCCUACCCCUACUUCGGCUACAACCCCGAAACCCUAAAUUACGCCCUCUUCAGGCCCAACCCCGGGAUGCGCGAUCCCUUCACGGGGAUCACCUACACCAACAUGUUCGACGCGCAACUGGACGCGGUGUACUCGGCGAUGAAUCGGCUCGGCUACGGCGACGUGGCGAUCGCGGUGGGCGAGACGGGCUGGCCCACCGCCGCGGAGCCGGGCCAGAUCGGGGUCAGCGCCGCGGAGGCGGCGUCGUACAACCGCAACCUGAUACGCAAGGUGAACUCGGCGACGGGCACGCCCCUCAUGCCGAAUCGCACCUUCGAGGCCUACCUCUUCGCGCUGUUUAACGAGAACCUCAAGCCCGGGCCCAUUGCGGAGCGGAAUUUCGGGUUGUUUCGCCCCGAUUUCACGCCCGUUUACGAUAUCGGAAUUUUAAAAAAUAAUCCGGUAAGUAAUAAUUAAUAUUUCAAAAUUCGCGCCAGCAGCAGCAGUACUAGUAGUAGUAGUAAUAAUAAAUAAAAAUAAAAAUACUAGUACUAAUAAUUUGUGCGGUGCAACUGCAGAGUGGUAGGAGGCCGAGGAGGGGGAGAAGGAAGUGGUGCGUGGCGAAGGAGGGGGCGAGCGAGGCGGCGCUGCAGGCGAACAUAAACUACGCGUGCAGCAACGGGUUGGUGGACUGCCGGCCGAUUCAGGAGGGCGGGGCGUGCUUCCUCCCAAACACAUUGCAGGCGCACGCCUCCUACGCCAUGAACGCCUUCUUCCGGGCCAGCGGCCACCGCCGUUUUCACUGCGACUUUGCCGGGACCGGCCUCAUCACCGCCGCCAACCCCAGUAUGUCGCCUCUAAAGUUUCACCUAAUUAAAAUUGCUCGAAUUUGAAUAAACAAAAAGUUAGAGAUAUAUAUAAAUUUGAAAAUGAAAGUUAGGUACCUCUUUCAAAUGCCCUGUAGUUGAUGGGGUCUAUUAGCGUAUUUACUUACUGUUUUUUUUUCUUUUUCUCUUCUUUUUGAUGGCUAAUUACAGUAGCUUUACUUUGGGAUUACAGGUUACGGAAAUUGCCAGUUCAGAUAGCGAGGAGUAAUGUCAUAUGGACAUCACUUUGCACCCAAAAUUAAGGCUAUAAUGGGUUAGCCUCGCUAAUGUUGCUGUUAGCUGGUGAUUCAACUUAUUCAGACUUGACUAGAUAUUUAAAGUUGAAUUUGAUUUCUGACUUAUUAACUGCACUGGGACAAUUUUGUGGGGCUCAGCUCAAAAUGGUCGCGAUCUCAAAUUUGGAUACAUUCUUGGAGUGUGUAACUUAACUUCGUUAAGCUUUGUUAAUCUAUUGAGCUGCCCCUUUUUCUUUUUUUUUUUGUGGGCAUGAAAUGUAGCUUAUUAUUGAAAUCUUUUUUUGCUGUACGAAGUUUCUCUUUGAUUUCUUUCCUUGUUACAGAGAACAUGUCUACACAUGGCAUUUCUACUUAGCAUAUCACACAUGUAAUGCAAAUAUUUAAUUUCCAAAUAACAAAAUUUAUUCGCUGGUACGAAUUGAAUUAGCAGAUGGGGAUACAUUGAUAAAUGUAUAUUCCAUCAAGUACAAGAUUCAAUUUUCGAUCGUUUCUAAAGCAAGUGGCAAAGAAUUUAGUGGUUGGUUUUCUAAAUAAAAUAAAUGAAACAGAUAACGUGCUACCUAUCUCUCUAAAAAAAAAAAUUCUUACAUAUAGAGAGAUAAGUGUUAGAACAAAAUUCAGUUUUGAACGGAAAUGGCUCAAAUUUAACAAUAAUAAUAAAUAUAAAGAAUGGACAAUGAGAGUCUAGUGCGGUCACAAUUCAUAUCGUGGACAUAAUUCCAUUCAUAAUUUUUUUUUUUUUUUUAUGUAUGUGAAAUUGAGAUGCAUUUCGCUUUAUAUAAUAUCGCGUGCACACCAAAAGGAAAAAAAAAAAAACUGUGGGGGCACUGCACCCGAGAAUCUCAAUUCAAAACCUCCAUUUUCCAUGCAUGAAAGCGUUAAGAGAGAUAAAAAAUUGUGGUUCUUAUAUGACGUGGCAGACCUGGUCCAGUCAUUAACAUCCUCUAUCUAAAGUAUAAAAAACCUAAUUCAAAAACCUCCUCUGCUUCGAACCACGAUCGGAGCAAUGCCUCACAACCCCUUCUUCAGCGUCGUCGCCCUCCUCAUCAAAACCCUAACCCUCCCAAACCCUAACCUCAUCUCCCAACUCCUCCUCCCCCUCCCCCUCCGCUACUCCCCCGUCACCGCGCUCAACUCCCUCCUCCGCCAGCUCCUCCGCUGCGGCCGCUUCCCACAAGCCCUCGCCCUCUUCUCCGCCGCCCUCGAAGCCAAAACCUCCCCUCUCGACUGCUUCAGCUUCUCCAUCAUGAUCCACGGCUUCUGCUUCUCGGGCCAGCUCCGCGGCGCCCUCGAUCUCCUAACCCUGUUCGAGAGCCGCGGCGGCCCCCCCAAUGUGGUCAUGUACACGACUUUGAUCGACGGGUGCUGUAAAAAUGGCGACUUGGAAGAAGCCGAGAGGCUGUUUAAGCGAAUUGGGGAGGUAGGUUUGGUCCCAAAUGAGCUCACCUACACUGUGAUGAUCAAUGGGUACUUCCGACAUGGCUUGCAGAGACAUGGGUUCGAUCUCUACAACGAGAUGAGGGGUAAAGGGGUUUUACCCAAUCUCUACACUUACAAUUCAUUGAUAGCCGAGUGUUGCAGAUGUAGAGAUUUAGAUCGCGCAUUUAAGUUGUUUGAUGAAAUGCGUGAGAGCGGAGUUUCGCAUAAUGUAGUAACUUAUAACACUUUACUUGGUGGUCUAUGUAGAGAAAAGAGAACUACGGAUGCUCUCAAGUUGUUCGAUAAAAUGACAAAGGAGGGAAUAAGGCCAAAUUUGAUUACAUUCAAUCUUCUUAUUGAUGGGUACGGCAAAGAAGGGAAUAUGUCGAAAGCUAUGUCUACACUUGACUACAUGAAAGUAAGUGGGUUUUUGCCUAAUAUUGUUACUUAUAAUAUGCUCAUUAAUGGGUUUUCUCAAGCUGGAGAUUUAGUAGGUACUGCUAAUAUCUAUAGAGAAAUGAAGGAAAGGGAUUUAUCUCCUACUAAAGUAACAUAUACUAUUCUUAUUGAUGCUUUUGCCCGAGGGAACGAUAUGAAAAGAGCGUUUGAUGUGUAUUAUGCAAUGGAGAGGGCCGGUAAAGAGGUGGAUGUGUACACCUACGGCGUGCUAAUGCGAGGAUUGUGUGAAGAAGGCAAUUUGAAGGAUGCAUGGAAAUUAUUCGAGUCAAUGAGUGAGAAGAAACAGAAGCCCAGCAAUGUGAUUUAUGAUACAAUGAUUUAUGGGCAUUGCAAAGAAGGUAGCUCAUACAGGGCUUUGAGGUUGGUUAAGGAGAUGAGAGAUAAUGGUUUGGUUCCUAAUGUUGCUAGCUAUGGUUUAACAAUUCGUCUUCUUGUUAAGGAUGGGAAGUUGUGCGAGGCAGAAGCUCUUCUGAAUGAGAUGGUAUUGUUUGGUCUACCGGUAAGUGAUUCGAUCUGCAGAGCACUAUAUGAUGCUAAAAUGAGGAGCCAUAGUAAUUCAUAAGGCUGCUUAUGAAAAGAUCGAGAUGCUGGUUAUUGGGUUUCCUGACCCAGUCGAUUGCGGCCCUAUUAGACCCAACCCACAAUUAAGGAGCAGGAACCCUUACAUUUGUAUCUAUUGGAAAGUGAGGAAAGUAGUCCUCUUCCUUAAUGGUUGAUGAAAAGGUCUUUGAUCAAAUCGUCCUCAAGCCACAUAGAGAGAGAUAACUAAGGCAAUUUUUUGAUUCGUAAUCGGUGAAGCAAGAUAUUCGACUAAAUAUUUUCACCAUGGCUUAUGUGUUAGUGAUCCCUAUUGUAUUUAAUCCCGAGUUUCCAAUAUGAGGGUGAUAGAGAUGCGGAGUUUAUUGGAUUUUAGAAUGUGGAGGAGCAAAAGAGUACCUGUCACAUGCUUAUUAAAAUGAAAUUCUGGUUGCAGUGGUGGCCGAAGAAAUUUAAGCUGCGAGUUUCCUGACAAGGGAAGAGUUUGCAAGAGUACACACCAUCAUAGUUGACAAGUCUCGUGCUUUGGAUGUUAGAAUCAACUGCAGAGCCUAGAUCUCAAGCAGGCAUUUCCCAUCAUUGGUUAGACAAAUCGUCUUCUUUGUUAAAUCUUUUUGAAAGCUUAUAAACUUUGGAUGGAGUGAAGCGAAUUCGAAGUUUUAAGUGCUUUGUCGUGAAGAAUUGGAGUCUCAGUGCUGAUAAUAAAGAAGAGGAAGCAACUGUUGUUGUGCUUGUAUCUUGUUAUGUUCCUGCGACAUUGGUUAUUAUUUGUACAAUUACCUGGCCUUAAUCAAGGUUGGCCAAUUCCUCAUAUUUCUUGCAGACAAUAAAGAGCACAAUUUGGAAUUUAUUUUUGUUUUCAAAGAGCACUUAUAUAAUUAAGAGUCAGAAUGUGGAGAUAUGUACUGCUUGAAUAUUGGCAAUGAUACUCAAGUCCGUUACUCUAGAUAUCAUCUCACACUUUGCAUGGCUUCUAGAAUGGCUUCUUUACUUCAAGAUAAUGUUGUUUGGCGCCUGGUAAAAUAAAAUAUCUCUUUGAAUUUGUUUUAGUGAGAAGUUGAAACUUGCUCAUGGGCACUUUCUAAGUAUAAGUUCAUGCUCAUACUGCAGUGGAAUUUUAACUAGAAAGUUGCAUAACCGACUGUCCCUAGAGCAAGUGGCAAAGGAUUUGGUGAUUGAUACCUAAGAUCCAAGUUCGAAUUCUAAUUGAUUCACAUUUCCAGCUAAGUUUAUUUCUAAAUAAAAUAAACAAAGCAGGCAGUGUGCUACCUAUCUCUCUAAAUAAAAAAAAAAAAAAAAAAAAAAAAAAAAAAAAAAAAAAAAAAAAAAAAAAAAAAACUAGAAAGUUGCAUGAUUGGAUUUUCGUUUUCUCCGAAAGCUGCACUCAUAUAGCGAUCCUCCAUAAGCACUUUUUAUAGGAGUUGGACAGUGGUGGCUUUGGUGUGUUUGAAUAUGUCAUGCACCUCAGUUAAUAUUUUGAUACAAAUAUUUAAAAAAAAUCAAAAUAUGAUCCUAUAGAUAUACAUCUACAUCGUUCAAAGGACUCAUAUACGGAUAAUCGUAAAUUUUUUCAUGAGCAUUAUACCUGGACUUUAAUUAGUUCAAAGUUAACUCUAUGGAGAGAGACACCGUUUCAUUCUAAGAAAAAAAAAGAGUGUGGAAAAUUUACAAUUUGGUUAGUACGUGGGCCCUUUCAAAUAUUAUAGAAAAUGGGAACGCAACCAAUAAUUUAAAUUUUCAUUUCAAAAGCUCUACUCAAUAAGAUUUUAUUGUUACGGUGCAUAGUGCACCGGGUACACACAAUAAUUUCUCCAAGUAAAAUCUUUUCUUUGUUUCAAUUAAAUCUCGAUUAAGUCGAUGGUCCCGAGCAUCUCGCGAUCUUUUUAACCACGUUUCAUUUAAAUCCGCGAAUCCGACCCUAGAUUCGGAUCCAACGGCUCACGUGGACGCGCGAAUAAUCAACGGUUCUUAACGGGCCAUUGACCCCUGUGGACCAGACGGGGCGAUGAGUGCCGUUUGAAGUUCAAACUUCGUCCGCCCAAUCGUAACGCGCCACGUCAGCGAACCGUUACCCUCCCUUUCCCGAGCGAACCCUAACGUCUCCGUUUAUGCGCCGUCACUCGUCCGUUUCGUUCCGUUGCUUGCCCCGUACUAUCCCGGUUUCAUGACUUGGUCCCUAAGCUACCGUUUUGUUCGGGGUUAAGAAAAAACUAGUUAUUUCAAAAAUAGGAUUAAGUUUAGGGUUAAGGCUGGAUUAGAGUAUUUUUGUGUUUGGUUGGAGAUUGGAGUUAGUCCAGAAUAGUGAAAAAUAAUAUUUGAUUGGAGUAGGUGGGAUGAGAAGAAUAAUGGGGUAUUAUAAAUAGAAAAUAGUAUUUGGUUGGGAUUUGGUAGGGUUAGGUGGGGUUAGCUAAUCCGGGAUAACCUAUUUGAGGUGUGGUUAGCUGACCUCACCCAUUUUUAGAAGUGUUUGGGGAUAAAAUGGGGGUUAACGGGUUAUUCCACCCUUAAUCCCCAACCAAACGGAGGCUAAAUAUUUUGAGUUGAGAAAUAAUCACUUUACUAACCGUCCCUAGAGCAAGUGGUAAAGGGCUUGAUGGUUGGUACUCGAGACCUAAGUUCGAAUCCUAGUUGAUUCACAUUUCCAGCUAAGUUUAUUUCUAAAUGGAAUAAACGAAACGGAUAGCGUGCAACCUAUCUCUCAAAAAAAAAAAAUAUAUUGAAAACAGGGUUAAAAAAAUGUUAUUUACAUACAAUCAAGUUUUAUAUUUUAUUUUUUUGAUUAUUGUCAGGGACUAAAGUUAAGAGAUUAAAUGUUAAGUCAAAAUUUAGGAAUCAAAAUAGUAAUAUUAUGAUAUUACAGGGGCUUUCGUGCAUUUUGUCCACUACUAUAUAGUUUCACUUCAACGGCGACGUUUUUCGAAGAGAGAGGGGGGGGGUUCUUCGAGUCGUUAGAGGGAGAGAGAUACGGAUUCGAGGGUUUCGUUUUCACCACCUCGAUCUCUUUCUUUUGGUUUGGUAAGCGUUCUCAAUUCCCUUUACUUGUUUUCGUCUUCGAUUCCGAGAUUAUUUAAGUCUCUAAGUUGGGAUUCUGAAGUUUGGAGCUUGGUUUCAAUCGGAAUUUAAGCUCUUUUUUCUUGUGAUUUUUGGUGAAUUUAGGGUUUAUUACGGAGGUAAUAGAUGGAGGAGAACAGGAACUCUGAGGCUCCGUUGAGCUCUUUGGCGUCGGAGGAGAAUUGUGGGGAUUCGACGAUGAUCCCCACUGUUUCUAGCCCGGUGAAAUCAUCUCGUUCCAACAAGUAAUGCUCAAUUUGCUUAAUUUUGUUUGGUUUUGAACUCUAAUUUUGCUUGAUAUUGAGUGAUCCUCCGUAGAUUCUGUUAUGGAUUUGUUCACGCUGCUUAGUGUAGUUCCUGUUUGAUUAGGAAAGUUGCAGGUUUUUCCUUGAUGCUUCUUUCCAGUAUUAUUAGGUUUUUUUUGCCUAAAGGUGUUGAUUUGAUAGUUGUAAGAGCUUUUCCAUUAUAAGUCUUCGCAACAGUUCAUUAUGGCGAAGCAGAAUCUCUUCUGCUUCUAGAAGCUUAUUAAAGCUUUGGGACUGGUUCGUUCGUGCCUUUUGAACAUGUAUACUCUAAAAGUUGUGGGGAAUAUUUUAAUAUAAUGCAGCUAGUGCUACUUCUUAAGCAACAUUUUUGCAAAAGCUCCAUCCCGGGCCAAAUAGGCACUUAGACAAUUUCAUUGCUGAAGACAUGGCUUCUGCUUCCGAAGUAGAAAGCCGAAAUGCGCACUAAACAGGCACAAAGAGUUUCUUUCCUUGGUUUAGUAUAAGAAAUUGAUUAUAGGAGGAACGAACUAACUUCCUUUCAUGUUUAAAUUAAUACUAUGAUCGUAGUCACUUCUAUGCGUACGAGAAACUAAAUUAAUGUGUAUAAUCUCAAAUAUGAAAGUCUAUUUGUAUUUUCUCACUUCCUUCUAUGUUCAUAUUCGUUUGAAUAAACUCUUGUUGACAUUUCGAAAUCCCAGGGGAGUAAGCAUUGUUUCGCUGUAUGUGAUUUUGCUCCAUUGAACUUACAUAUAAGUCUUUUGCAAUAUCUUUAUGUUAUAAUAUCUACUGUAGGAGAAAGACGGUGGAAGCUUGAAAGUGUCAGCAUUUUGUGUUUUACUUUUAGUAAUUUAAACUUGUCUGAUGUUGAUUUCUUGUAAGCGACAAACUAAUUAUGAUAUUCUGAACUUCAAUACUGAUAAAAUUUUCUUCUUUCUUGUCCCGUAUGUUGUUACCAAGGCAUCAGCAUUGCCGUUAGUUUGCUGCAAAUCACUGCAAUUGGGCGCUAUAUGCACUCUCUGUACACUUUUGUUCUCUUUUUCUCUUCAAUGUUUAUCUUAUAUUACAUUUAUUUUAGGAGGGUAACUGGCCCGAUAAGGCGAGCUACGGGUGGUUGGACCCCGGAAGAGGUUAGCAUUUCAUUUUUAAUCUAUAUUCCUUUGAAGAUUAUCGAUUUACCUGUACAUAGUUGCUACUGCACACAGUUAGUUGCACAAAUGCUUACACGUCUACCUCUUGAAAGCCACUCUUUAUCAAGUUACACGGGAUUGACCUUGGUUUGGUCUUGAACCGGCCAGUUUUCACCCUUAACCAUCCUAGUACUUCUAAGUUUGAGUUUGCUCGGUUCUUGUCUCAACUAUAGUAUCUUUAGUAUUCCUACCAUGUUAUUGCUCUCGUCUUUGUCAGCUUUGUAAAAUAGUGGUCAGUUGAGCUUUCUAAUGCUAAAACAUGUCACAGGACGGGGAAUUGAUGAAAGCAGUUGAAAUUAACAAGGGAAAAUGCUGGAAGAAAAUAGGUAUUUUUCUUUCCUUUGUAUUACACACUAGCACAUAUUGAAAUCCAUUGGUAAGUAUCGCACCAAUUGGUUUUGAGAAGUCUGUCUACUUGAAAUCAGCGGCUGAAUUAUAAUAGUUAGGGGUUGUUUAUCCCCCGUUGAACCGCUGACAAAUAGUGUUCUAUGCAUUAUUAAUUAGAAGCUCCGAGUUUGUAGUUGUCUCUUUCUUUUUUUUUUUUUUUUGAAUCUUGGAAAAAACAAACCCCGGUAGCCAAAAGGGUGCAAUGGGUUAAAAAUAUAUAAGAAUUAAAAUUAAACAGGUUUCAAGAACAGUACAUAAAGCAUUAAAUAAAAAACUGAGGAGACACCCAAAGGUGAUCAAGUCAAAGAUGAAAAUAUCGACACAUCAGCGCAUUAGAUGGAAUACGGCUGCGUUGGAAGAGGGAGAUAAGUAUGUCGAAGAUGCGACGAGUUUCGCUCAGACCAGAGGACGCGAAGCAGACUGAAGAUGGUGUUCUCUUCGAUAUCUUAGGUAACGAGAAGACCUACAUUGUCCAAGAUGUCUCAAUAUCCAAAUAAGUUAUGUUGAAGGACGAAAGGAAAAGAUGAGAGAUGCCACACAGCUAUGGGAGUAGGGGCAAGAAGGUAAGUGAUAAUAUCUUCGCAGCUUAGGCAAAGCUCAACAUCUGUUUGUAGGCGGAGAAAUCAACACGAGAUCCGAAGGUUUUCAGAGUUUAUAAUUCGUUUUUAUAUAAAAAGCCCAAACGUAAAACUGCAUCGAGGAUGUUGUGAAUUGUGUACCAAACUGUGAUCGGAGGUCGGCGAUGUUGUCAGCAAAAAGAAAAGAAUUGUUAUGCUGAUGAAGCUGGAAGAAAGUGGCAUGGGGGGGAGUCCAUUUCCGAGCAGCAGACGUUUGGAGGCCCGACGCAAUAUGGAAGUGUCUAACUGUAGCAUGGUGUCGAAACUCUGUUUGUGACAUGAUGUCGGGUAAGAGAUGACGGUAAUAGAGAACAGAUUAUCAUAAAACUUCGGACACAAGAGCCAAUUUGAUGAGCAGAGUAGGAGAUAGAGCGGAAGUUGAUCAUCAGGGGUGUUUGCCUACAAGUGUAACCAAAAAAUGUUUGUCCAUUAUAUAGCAAAAGAGUGUGAAGAUGUUGAGAUUAGGAUAGUUGAGAUCACUACGCAGAGCGAGCUGGGGGAUGCUUCCAGUGAGAGGGAGAAGAGGAAUAAUAUUACGAUUUAAUUAAAAUGCCGGUAUGAGUCGGCCUUCGCAGACAAAUCUCACAAGACCACGUAGUGCAGAGAAGAGACACAAGCUUACUUGCUAGUAGAUGGUUUGCUCUUACACAUCACGCCAAAGCUUUCACGUUAGCACUCAUCCCCAGUCGAAUAGAAGGAUUAACCCUUCAUUUUAUAGGACAUGAUGAUUUCCCUCCAUAGAAACUGUCGCUUUGGAGCUCCGCAGCUGGUGAGUUAUAGACUUAGACUGUAAAACUCAAUAGAUACGGUAUGGAGUUGAGUAAAUUUCGUAGAACCUGAUAAUCCUAAUUCAAACAACUCGACAGCCACAAUCCCGGUGAUAGUAGCGACUUUUCCAUCCGAGAAGUUUUUUCAUGAACUUGUCAAUAAGAGGGUGUAGCACAAGUUGGGCUUAGUCGGGGCCGAAAGGUAGGCGUCAAGUAGGUUAGUGAAGUGACCAUAGAGCGUUUGAGGAUUUGAAGUAAGCAUGGAUGUUCAGUGAGAUAAACAUAGAGUGAUGUCUUCGCAAUUGUUAUUGAUAAAUGACGAACGGCAGAAGGCCUCUAAGUUAGUGUCCUGCAUUGAGAAGGUUUCGACAGUAUGUUCAUCGCAAAAAGUUGAGAGUAUGCAUAUUGCAAAAGGGGACUAUAGGCAGUAUGGUAAGGGUUGAGGAAUGAGAUUGGGCGGAUGAAGACGUGCCAAGUUUUUAGAACAUCAGCACAGGUAAGAGAUAAGGCGAGUAGGUCGCUGAUCUUGUCCUCGUCAGGGAGAAAUUCACUUGCUGGGCAACCUUACGGAGACAAAAUGCAAUCGCGAGGACAAAAGGUUUGUGGAUUCAGUCGUCCAUUUAAUGUCGACCACGAAGGUUAGGCAGAUUUGAGAAAUGGCAGCUAACACUGUCGAAAGCCUUAGAGAAAUCAAUUUUUAAAAGGGCCAAUUUUUUCUUCCGCCUUCUAGCAGCGUUAAGAACCUCGUGAGCCAUUACAAAGCUGUCAUGAAUGCUGCGGUUCUUGAUAAAGGCUGUUUGAUGCGGGUCAAUGAGUGAAUCAAUGACCGUCAGCAAACGGGUCGCGAGCACCUUUGAGAUAAUUUUGCUAAUAGCAUGAGUAAGGCUAAUAGGUCGGAAAUGCUCUGGUGCAAUAGCUUGCGCUGUCUUUGGGAUCAAAGAAAUCCAUGAGCUGUUGAGAUAAUGUGGGAUGUCGCCACCAGCAAAGAAACCCUGCAUAAAACAUAAUAUAUCUGCUUUUAAAAUGGGCCAGAACCGUUGAUAGAAUCCCAUAGGGAAGCCAUCAGGCCCCGGUGCUUUGUCCCCCUGAAGCGCAUCGAUUGCGGCUUUGACUUCCAGCUCAGAAAUAUUUGUCGAAAGAUGAUGGAGGUUAGGAGUACUGUCUGGUGGCAGACUUUGAUAAAGGGCAGUAAGAUUGAUAUAGGCUGAAGGGGUGUAGCAGGAUCCAAUAGAGGAGCGAAAAUAUUGGAAAAAGGUCUCGGCAAUGUCAGAUGGUUUGUUCAGGGUGAGGUUGUUACGGUGGAUGUAAUUCCGCCGUCUACGACCGCUAGCAUAAGCAUGAAAGAAGCUGGUGUUGCGGUCGCCUAACUUGAGCCAAUUUAUUCGAGACCUUUGCUUCCACUUGAUUUCGGCUUGUUCGCAUAAUGUAUCUACCCUUUCCUUGAGUAGACAUCUAAUUUUGAAUUCAGCAGUGUCGAGUUGGCGAGUUUCCUCCGCGUUGUCGAAAAAGGAGAUCCAUUUUAAACAAUUUGUAAUCGUUCGGUCAGGAUCGGGUGCAUGAAGUUUGCUCCAAGAGGUUAAUGCUCGCUGCAGGGCCAAUAAUUUUCUAUGUAGAGUAUAACCUGGGGUGGCAUUGGUUGAUUCAACUGCCAUCCAUGCAUUCUUGACCACAUCAUUAAAAUCAGAGCAGGACAACCAAUAGUUCUCGAAGCGAAAAAUAUUUGUCCUGUUGAGUUUUGACGCACAGCUAAGCAGGAUAGCACAAUGGUCGGACACUGCAUUGGCAACAGGGUGAAGAAAGCUAGUAGGAUACAGUGAAUUCCAAUCGGUUGACACUAAACAACGGUCAAGUUUAACCAAAGUUGGCCGGUAACGCCUGUUUGACCAUGUGUAGCGUCUACCGCACAGAGGUAGCUCAAUCAGGCAAAGGUUGUCAAUGGUAUCAUUGAAAUUGCGGGAAGCAACAGAUUGUCUUCGAGCUGAAUUUGAAUCAGAAAUGAAUCUAGUGAUAUUAAAAUCCCCCAGCAAGAUCCAAGGAACGCUCGCCAACAAGCGAACCUGCUGUAAUUCUAGGAGAAAAUCAUCAACUAGCCGAUUCACACACGGCCCAUAGACAUUUGUUACAAGAAAAUUCUGCCCAGUUUUUCUAUCCACACAGAGGGUUGAAAGUGUAUAGUUAAAACACCAACUUGAAAUGAGGUCAAAUUUGGUGGAGUCCCAAGCUGUUAGUAAACCACCGGAUCGACCCCGAGAUUCCUUGUAUACGUAACCGUCAAGAUUUUUUCCGCAGAUACUUCUUAAUUUGCUAGUGUUGAGACAUUGUAGUUUGGUCUCUUGAAGACAGAUAAAACUGCAUCUAUUUGAUAGAAGGGUUCGCUUUAUAAUCCCACAUUUUCGCAGUCGAGAGAGGCCACGGACAUUCCAACAUAAAAAAUUAUCGAUAUAACCUUUAGCCAUAAAAUAAAACUUUAAAAUCUCAGCUACGAAGGAGCACCUGAGGGAGAUCAUCUGUCUGAUACCGCUUCCGUCUGGCCAGACCUUGCACAGAUUUGAUCCAAGACAUUAGAUGGCAAGAGGAAAGCACAUUCCUUUUGAAGCAACAUAACACUCUCUCGAUUUAUUUUUAAAGCAGGGUUCGGGCUUGAGAUAACAGCGGAUCGAUUGGGAGAUUGUGGGAGACUCGGGGUAGCGGAUUGCGCGGUGGAAUUUUUCGUCGACAAGGUAGAGGGAAGGUUUUUAGAGGUAGUGAGGUCCAGAGCUCUCUGAAUAGGUGACUUAUAGGGCCCGUUCAAUUUAAGGGCGAGGCGAAUGCUACGACGAGGUAUGGUGAUUGGAAGGGAACAGGCUUUAGUGGCGGGAGGCGAUUUUAUUUUAAUGGGUGAGUUGGGCUGAGUGGGGUUACAAGGAGGUGAUUUUGCUCUAGCGGAUGAGUUGGGCUGAGUGGGGUUACAAGGAGGGUUGGGGACCUCAACAAGUAGUUGGGAACAAAGUUUGUUAAAAUGUGGGCUAAGGUAAUGGGCCAGUGAGGGGUUCGGUGGAAGAGAGCAUGGAGGGGGAUUAUAUGGGCUGCUUUGGAUAGUGGAAUUUUUAUCAAAACCAACAGCAGAAGAUGAGGUUUUGUUGAGGGAACGAGAGUGGAUGUUUGACUGACAAGGAGAAUAAAGUGGGUCAGCAGCAUUAAUGGCAUUAAUGUCAGCAGGGUCCGCGGGAGAUGUGCUGCUGUUGGUAUGGCGUGGAGAAGCUCCAAAGUCUGCUAAAAUCCCGGGAAUAGCAGAUCUCCCAUUUAAGAUGGUGGUGUGCUGUCGCGUCCUCAUAGAAACCUUGUCAGAAGACUCAUAGACUGAUUCAGGAGAGCUUGGAUCCGAAUGAAGCGAAAACUGCGUGGAGUUGGUGUCCAGCAGAGCAACGGAGUUGGGGACAAAGCUGGUUGAGUCGGACCCGGUGUUGAGCGAGGGUGAGCCCAAAGUUGAGUCCAACUGAGUUGCUUCUUUGAUUUGGUCAAACCCAGAUUUGGUCCCCGCAGAAAUAGUGUAGCGCGCAGGGGGCGGCACUGCGCCAUGGUUGAGGUGGACAGGAGAAUGCACGGGGGACGACGCGGCCGGAGCAAUAUCCGACGCAAUGCGCCGACCGGGAGGGGACGGGGCUGCGCUACUAGAUCCAGCGAUUUGAUCAGAAGGGUGGGGUCAAUCCCUAGUUGCAUGGAGAGGCAUGGCCCAAUCAUAAUCAUCUUCAGGGGGCGUAGGAUCAUCUUCAUCUUGGGUAGAGGUGCCCUCCGGGAUAAGUAUGGCCGAUAGGAGUUCGAACUGCACAUAAUGACAGACUCCCCCGACUACAACUCGAAAGGUAGAGGGAAGGCCGGAUAAGGCCUCAGUCCUGAACAUGAAUAUGAGGUGCCUGGUAUCUAACCUGUGCUCCGAGAUUGGGUGCAUUCUGAGAAACACCCCAAGGGAACCGAAGAUUUGCUCGACCGCAUCAUUCGACCAGCAGUGCAUAGGUAGGCCACUCAGCUUGCCCCAGGCUUUAUAUGGUAGGUGCACUGUUGAUGCUCCAGUAGUGGGAACCCAUCUGUUGACAAUAAAGCGCACACCAUUGGCUUCGAAAGAGCGAGUCGAUAAUGCUGCCUGAAGGUGGCCCACGGAUGUAAAGGUGACAAGAAAGUCAUAUGGUUGAUGCUUGGACACAUCUAUGCCACGAAAAGGAAUACGUAGCCUGUCAACAAGCAUGUUGUGGAUCAUAUUCAUGUCCGGCGGCUCAACAUAAGAGAUAAUAUCAAUUGUGGCAGAUCUAUCCAAAAAAGAGGGUUGGCCUAGGAGAGUUUUCGAAUCUUUAAGGUAACAAGUGGAUGUGCGAUUUAGGAGCGCCAUAUUUUUUGAGCUUAUCGGUGGAGGCCGUACGGUAAACUGGCAGGUGUUGGAAGUGUCCGGUUGAUGGCUUCGGUGGAGUUUAGAACGUGGAUGAGUGGCCACCCUGUGGAUAGAUGGAGGAAGAAGGUCAGGCUUGGAGCUGGGUGGAAGCAGAGAGUUGAACUUGUUGUGGAGUUGCGGAAGGUAGGCGACAGGUGUGAAGCACUUUUUGGCGGUGUGGCCCAGGCACAUGCACCGGAAACAGCGGGUGGGCUGCCGACAGGAUGUUACCCAGUGCUCUCGGGACAGACACCGAAAACAACAGGCAGAGAAAAAAGGGUUUCCAAAUAAUGGAUGCUUCUUGCGCUCGGUGUGGAUAGUGCGGCUUUUGGCCCGCGUGGGGAAGGUUGGAAUACGCUUGUUAGGUUGGUGAGAGGAGCGGGGGAAGGUAGAUUUGGAAGCAGGGGCGGAUAGGAGGACAUCUUUGAAAGAGACAUGGUGGGGUUUGGGUGAUGGUUGAGGUGGCUGAGGUGGGUGGAUGAAGUUAAUGUUGUAAGGGACGUUGGUGGUAGGAGUGCUAGAAGCUGGCAGAGUAGUGGAGUUGUAAUUACUGUGGUUAAUUUGAGGGAAGAGUACCUUCCGCCCAUUUUUACCAACAAGGGUCCAACCCUCUUCAAAACUAGGACGCAAAGUCUUAGGAGAGGCAUGGGUGGCAUGCUGAGGUACAGAGGGUUGAGGUGUAGGAAGACGUCGAGGAUGGAGGCAGCGGUGGGGAAGCUGCGCCGCGGUGGGAAAGCGGCGACCAUGACGAGGUGGGAAAGCGGCGACCAUGACGAUUUCCUCUGGUUGUUCUUGAGCUGUUAUAUUUUCGAAAGUAUAAGAGAGUUGGUACCUCCAACUUUUUGACUCUCGAAUCAAUUCUUUUGAUUAUUUUUAAUUUUUGGAGAACUACUAUCAUCCCAACCCUACAAUCCUUAAUUCAAGAGUCAAAAGUCGAAAACACUAAUUCUCUUAUACUUUCGAAACUAUAAUAGCUCUAUAUAUAUAUAUAUAUAUAUAUAUAUAUAUAUAGUGUAGAGCUACUACGCUAUCGGAAGCAUAGAGCAUUUGAUACUUCCGAUAUUUUGACCUUUAGAUUAAAAAUUAUGUGGUUGGGAUGAUAGAGUUCCCCCCAUGGUUGAAUAGUAUCCCUAGGGUUGAGUGGUCCCCACAGGAUAAUAGUAUUAAUCCAAAAGUUAAAAAUGAUUAAAGGGGUUGAUCUAACGGCCAAAAAAUCGAAAGUACCAGAUCCUCUAUAAUUCCGAUAGCAUAUAUAUAUAUAUAUAUAUAUAGUCCGGCUGGGAUAUUAUCGACAGCACGAAACAUUUGGUGCUAUCAAGUUUUCUGCUGUUAGAUUUACCUCUUUUAUCAUUUUUAACCGUUCGAUUAUACUAUUCAACUAACCACCC
rnacentral:lncRNA from 1 species